UUUUUAAUUGAGAAAUGGCAUGGCUGUAGGGGUAUUUUUUUUUCUUCAGAAAACAAUACUUUGCCAGGAACGCAAGACAGUCCAUCGCCAUCAUCUUUGAACAAAUUUGUCAACUCCCUCUGUAUGUUAAAGCUUCAAAUAUCAUUUUUAGGGUUAGAUAUAAAUCCAAAGAUAAAUUUGAUAUCUCAUUAUUACAAGAAGGAAGAAUGAAGUUCAUUGUUUGAUCCGCUUUCCUUCAAAUUUCACGCAAUACAUAGCCGCUUUUAACCUGCCGGUCCCCCUUUCUAGGUGAACUUUCUCAGCUCCUCCUCAAUUUCAUUUUCAUUAUUUUUACAUUAUGAUCUUCUGCCCAUCUCUUUUUCUAUAUAAUCACCUUUCCGCUUUCCCAUACCGUGUCUGCCUAUUUACAGUUCCUAGCCUCACGGAUCUGAUUAUCUUCGGCGGUGAUGCUCCUGCUCCUCGAAAGUCUACCAAAGUUGCAAAAACACUACUCACUUCACUCUGAACAAUCUUUGAGGCUCUUCCUGAUCUCUUCCAUCCAUGGGCGAGUGGGUAAUUGGAGCCGUUAUCAACUUGUUUGGAAGCAUUGCCAUUAACUUUGGAACCAACCUCCUUAAGUUAGGUCAUGAUGAGGUACUUUCUAACCUUUAUUUUGAUGUUCCACAUUACAGAAAUAUCUGCCCUGUGCUUUGAUGUUCCUGAUCUCUUCCAUUAGUUUGUGCUCACAUUGGUUGUCUUAAAGUGUAGGCAAAUGAAUAAUUGCUUAACUUAGAAAAGAGGAAAUUGAUUAGGUCAAAGUCUAAUUCUGGUGAAGUAUAGUGUCCAUGUCCACGCCAAAUUAAAAUAAUUGGGGCCUCCAUAUUUGAGCAUGCAAUGCAACACUUGUCUCUUUUUUUUGUUAAGAAGGAAAAAAAAAGUCUCGCAAUUCAUGCUCAAAUAUGGAAUGCAAGACGUGGUGCUACAAAGGGGAUAUACUCUCAUUUAAUAUAGCAUGGUUCACUUUUACUAUUGUUUCUUCGCUCUCUUUUUUUUUGUAAUGGAAGGAAGUAGGAUUCCAAAUGGUACCUUUGAGUUGAUGGAUGACUUUAUACAAAUAACUUGUUUGUUUGUACACUUCCAUUCCCAUUACACCUGUCUAUUUAUGGGUUUCUCUUUUUGUUGCAAUCAUUGAUUGGACGCAGUAAGAAGUAUUCAUGAUGCAUCAGUGUUGAAUUUAAUGUGAUAUUAUCUACUUAGGCAUUAGUUUUCAUUUCUGUACAAACUUUGAUGAGAGAGAUGGACAACACAUGUUCUUUUUGGCUUACUAAAUCUAUCCAACAAUCUUAAAUGCAAGUAUUAAAGCAAAUAAUAGUGACUCAAUACUGUUGGACUAAUAAUGGAAUUGUGAUACACUUUGGUUAUGCGGGUUGAUAACAUGGCUGCAUAAGAAGUGACUCAAACACUUUUGAUUUUACGAGAUAACAAUAUGGUUGGAUGGAGGACACGUUGAAGUUGAUCAAUGUUUGCCGUAAGUCAUAUUACACAUAUAUGAAGCAAGAUUAUUUAGGGGUGAUAAGUGCGUCCAAUAUUAGAGGGGAACAUGAAGUAAGAAGAGGGGAACAAGAGAACCAAUAAAGUUAUGACAAACUUUCAAAGUUCAUUGAGGACAUAAAUUAGUAGACUUGAUAUGGAAGGGGGAAAGUAUUCAUGGAAGAGGGGUGAUAGACAUGUAAGUGCAGCAAGAUUGGAUAGAUUUCUCAUCUCUUAUGAAAUAGAUGACAUCUUCGGACACAUCAAACAAUCUAUAAUACAAAGAAUAGUUUUAGAUCAUGCUCCCAUUAUGCUAUAGUGUGGAGAACGGAAAAAAUUAAAAUCUUACUUCAAGUUUGAGAACUAGUGAUGGCUGCAGCCAAAAGGCUUCAAUGAGAGGGUAAAGGAUUGGUGGGACUUAUUCAAUUAUGAGGGCAAUCCUGUAUUUAUUCUAAUGGCAAAAGUGAGAGCUCUAAAAAUUAAACUAAAGGAAUGGAGUAAGACAAUAUAGGGGAACUUAGGGACUCAAAAACAAAAUGUCUUGGCUCAACUAGAUGCAAUAGAGUAGAUACAUGAGAACAGAGCUUUGCAGUAGGAGAAUAUUGCCUCCAUAUUAUCUCUCACAAUGGAAUUUUAAGACAUAAUAAGGAAGGAGGCGAUUGUUUGGAGACAAAGAUCCAGAGCAACAUGGCUAAAAUACGGGUAUAAGAAGACAAGCUUUUUCCACAAAAUUGAAAAUGUCCUUAGGAAAUUCAAUACCACUGACAAGUUGAAGGUGGGUAGGGUUAUGGUGGAGGAUCCAAAAGAGAUGAAGACAGAGAUAGUCUCAUACUUUGACUAUACGUAGAAACAGAGGAAUGAAGACCAUAUCUACAAAUGGAAAACUGUCCCAAAAUUAUUGAUAAGAAGAACUUGUUAUUGAUGGCACCUUUUGAAUUCCAGGAGAUUUUGGAAAGCAUUAAAGCUUGUGUAGAGGACAAGGCACCUCACCUAAUGGAUACUCUAUGGAGUUCUUUAAGUAGUGUUGAGAAAUUAUCAGAAUGGAGCUUGUAGCAGCAAUUCAAAAUUUUCAUGAGAAGGAUUUCUUAAAAAGAAGUAUGGAAAUGCACCUAAGGGUCGCCUAAUUGUCAAUGAAUUGGUUGAGAACCUUGAUGUCUUAGGUUCAAAACUCAGUGGAGACAAAAAAUACUAGGUGAUUCUUUCCAUCUGUCCUAGCCUUGGUGGAUAUAAUUUCUUGGUACCUGUUGCUGGUGGGAGGUGGCAGGUUUCAAGUGAAAUUAGUCAAGGUGCGCGAACGCUGGCCUGGAACCACGAUCAUCAAAAAAAGAGAAGUAUGAAAGCUACCUUUGUAACAUUGAUUCCAAAGGAAGCAGGGGCAAAAGGGCUAAAUGACCACAAACCCAUAAGCUUAAUUGGGGGAGUGUACAAGAUCAUAGCCAAGCUUCUGACAGAAAGGCCGAAGAAGGUAAUUCAUGGUUUGGUUGAUAGACAACAAAUGACCUUUCAUCAAAGGUAGACAAAUAAUGGAUGUAGUGUUAGUUACAAAUGAAUAUGUGGACUCUAGACAAGGUAGUAGGAAGCCAUGAAUUGUUUGCAAGUUGGACAUUCAGAAGGCUUAUGACCAUCUGAAUUGGAAGUUCUUAUUACCACUGCUGGAGAAAAUGGGGUUUGGUCCUAGGUGGAUCAAAUGGAUAUCACAAUGUAUACACAGUCAAAUUCUCAAUAUUAAUCAAUAGGGAACCUAAUGGGUUUUCCCCAUCUCAGAGAGGUCUGAGACAAGGUGAUCCCUUGCCUCUUUUUUUUCUUCAUAUUAGCUAUGGAAGGAAUGAACAACCUAUUGAAUAAGGCGAAGAGGAAAGGAUGGAUCAAAGGUUUCCAAAUGGGAGAGAAAAAUAGUUUGGAGGUAAUACACCUUCGGUAUACAAAUGACACCUUGAUAUUUUGUGAGGCAGUAGAGGAAUAAAUCCUAAUUUUGAGGUUAUCUUUAUUAUUUUUGAAGCAGUCUCUAGGUUGCAUCUAAUCUGGGAAAAUAGUUUCAUAUACCCUAUCAACACAGUAGAUGAGAUAGAGAACCUUGCAAGCAGACUUGGGGGUAAGGUGGGAGAGAUGCCAACAACUUACCUUGGAAUGCCUUUGGGAACUAAAAGUAAAUCAACAAGGAUUUGGAAUGUGGAGAAAUGAACAAGGAUAAACAAAUUUGAAGAGCCAAUACCUAUCUAGGGGUGGUAGAUUGAUACUAAUUAAUAGUGAACCGGACACUUUACUUUCUUAUUUGAUGUCUAUCUUUCCAAUACUUGCUAGUGUAAGUAAAAGAAUAGAUGCACUGAGAAGGAACUUCUUCCGACAGGGAAAAGAAGACAAGAAGAAGUAUCACCUAGCCAAUAGUUUAUUGUAUUUAAAUCUUGAAACUUACAUACAAAUAGAAUGAUGCCAAUUGUCAACCAUAUUGUACCAUCUCAAAUGAAAAGUGUGCCAAAUAAAUUGGAAAAAAAUGAGUCAUUAUCCACGGAAAAUCUCCCGCUGAUGAAUUAUUUAAGAAGCUCUUCAACGAAUAAUAUGCUUGACAUCAAUAUAACGGAGACAUGCUUGUUAUCUAACAAGGAGGCAUAGGUUGGUGUAGAAGUGUUCACUUCCAUUUGUUCAGUUGUUGGAAUUAGUAUAAUCUUGUAAGAGCAUCUGCAUUUUGUUUUUGAGUUCUUCUUUGUCGCAUGUUAUGAGAGGUUUGCGUAAUGAUUUAUUGGUAUGGCUGUAUUUUGAUAUUCUUUUGUUCUUUUCUUUCUUUUCUUGUUAUCCUCUGUCACCAGAGGCUCGACUUGUAUUUUCUUUAGUAGCUCUAAUGAAUCAUAAAUAUUUCAGAGGGAGAAGCACUCUGUGCUGGGUAAUGAGGUAACAAAUGUAAAGUCUACAAUGAAGCCAAUUAUAUACUUCCAAACAUGGAGAGUUGGUAAGCAUUGCUUUUGAGUUUGUCUCUUUACAAGUACUGAUCCCAUUUUAGUGUAUUGAUGGUGUUAUCUUUUACACAGGUAUUCUAUUCUUUGCUAUAGGAAAUUGUCUCAAUUUCGUUUCAUUUGGAUAUGCUGCUCAGGUCCGUACUUAUUGGUUCUUGUCUAGUUUGUCUUCAAAUUUAGUGGGCUGUGUUGACUUUGGGCACGAAAAGUAGGUAAACUAGGGGUAGUGUUAUCAAAAGCGAAAAUCACAAAAAAGCUUUAAGGUCUAUUGGGGCUUUAAGCACCAAGCGCUAAUAAAGGGCUUUAAAGUAAAAAGGUGUAAAUUGAGAAAAAAAAAUACUAAUAUAUAUGUUUAGUCCAAGACUAAUAAUGUUUUUUGAGAAGACGUCCGGGACUAAUACUAAUAAGCAUGAAUCAUCAUAUAUUUAUAUAAAAGAGAACCCUAGGCCCGCCUACGUGGUGCCACCACAAGUCAGGAUUUCCUUUUAAAUUUAUUUAUUUCCAAAACUAGCCUUCCCCUUUCAUGAAAAGUUGUGACUUUUAUGAAGAGUUGCGACUUUUAUGAAAAGUUAUAACUUUUAUGGAAGGUUGUCACCUUUUCGAAGGGUUGUAACUUUUUCAAAGAGUCGUGACCUUUCUGAUAUGGCACAAUAAACAUUUGUUCACACUACUAUAUUUUGUCAAUAAAUAGAGGGAUUUCCUCUCAUUUUAAAACAACAAAAAAUUUGAACUACUUUUUCUUCUUCUGCACAAUUAAAUAUUCGUGUACUUUACUCCUGUUGAGUGGUUCACUCACACCAUUGUUUUUGUAUCAAUACACUGGUGAAUAAAAUCGUUCUAUCCUGAGAGGAUCUAUUCCUUUAAACCUCGGGUACUAGAGGGGAAUAAUUUCCUUAAGGAGACACUGUACAUUCAGUGGGCUCGAUUUUUCCUUUCUGUUUCAUUCUGUUGUUACAGAUCCUGGUAUGUUUUUUAACAGUUAUUAAUUUAUGCGUUAUUAAUUGCUGUUUUUGAGUACAUGUUUUAAACUAUGUUGUUUAUGUUUCUACAAAGUUAUUGUUAUAAGUAUUUGUUAGUACAAAUUAAAUAACAUACGUUAAUUGAGUAUUUACACAAGUUUUCUCUACUAAAAUUGUUGAAGGUACAAUAAAAAAAUUUCCUUAAAGAUCUACACUACCAUCUCUGGAAGACAAAAUUCAAAUUUGGUAUGCCAUUGUAAGGACAUAUAGACCUUAAAAACUUUAUCUCACCUUGAUGUGCGAAGUGAACUAGAAAAAGAAGACAAUAAUUAAUAAACUUUUGACAUGGGUUCAAUGAUAUGCCAGAUGACCUAUAGAGGAAUAUGACUAGACUGGAGCUUGUUUUAAUCCCAAAUACAUAGAUAACUACACAAUAAAUUAAUUCCCAAUAUUCAAUAUGAAGUAUGGACAAAUUCUCAAGUUUACUGUAAGUUGUAAAUACUUUUCUUGUAGUAAUAAAAGGGUUUCUCGACACUGCGAUUGGAAUAGAAGUGUAUCAAAUUGAACUUCAUCACUGCGGUAUGUUGAUUUUUAAAGAACACCCAAACAAACUGAAUAGUUUUGUGUAAUAAUUUUUCCUUUCAAGUAUAUAUAAUAAGUUGAAUUGUUGUCCAAUUUGAUACCUCUUUAAUUUUCCAUUUUAAUAAUUACUUCUGAUACAUUUGAAUGAGGAACUUUAAAAUGAUAUAUGUAAAGCAAGAGGUAGGGCUGAACUUUCUACACAAUAGAAUUAGAAUAUUUUUUCACUUUUUUCGGCCUUUAAAAUUUUAUUUAUCCUUUCACCAACGAUUUUUUAUUUAUUAGAAAAUUUAAUAUCUCAGGUUGAUGUUCAUUUGAUUCCCCAAAAUAUCAAAUAGUACCACUUCCUAGAAGCAAAAGGAUAAAUUAUAAAAUAAAAUUAAAGAUGAUUGAUUGAAGUAUAAAUGAUAAGAUGUUAUAAUUAUUAUUUUCCUUUACAUUAUUAAUGUUCGUUACUACGUAAUCUUGUAUCUAAGAUAAUAUAGUGUUUUAGUUUUAAUGAUCGAUAGGCUUUAAGUAUUAUUUUAUAAAUCCCGUCAUAUUAAAUUUCCGCGCGAGGCGCGGGUAAUUUUACUAGUUAUAAAUAUAUGGAUAAAUUUUUAAAAAAAUAUUAUGAUAAGUGAGAUAUCAAUUGUUUAGUGCCAGCCUCUUUCGGAGCGGCUAGGAAAAAUAUGUCUUAGAGCCUUAAUAAUGACACUGAAGUGUAGCACUCACCAUGUUUUGUGCCUCACUUCAGGGCUUAAACACAUUUUUGACAACAUUGAUCAGGGGAGAGGGAGAGGGGGAGGUUACAACCAACUUGCCUAAUGUUAUGUUGAGGUGUAAAACAAUUGAGUUACUGUUGCGUAAGGUUUAGGGUAUAACCCAACCGACACAACUUAUUCCUAUUUCUUUUUCUUUCACUGAAUCUCUUUCAGAAAAGGUCCAACAUCCAUAGAAUAAGAGGCAAAUCAAAUUGAGUGUUCUUGCUGCAAUUCUUUGCAUUUUCCUUUUCAUUUUACUGUAGACAAGCUUGUGAGAUGGUGUGAUUGAUAAUCUAUUUGAGGAAGAAGCCUCGUAGGUAAUAUCUGUUGAAAAUGAUUCUGUGUUGAGUAAAAAUGUUUUUUGAUUUAUUUAUAAAGACUGAAAAAGGGUAAAAAAUGCCCUUAACCUAUGUUAACGACAACUAACACAUACUAGUGUAAUCCCAGAGGUUCGGUAAGGAUGGUAUGUACGCAUCCUUACCCCUACCUUAAUCUAAGUGAUAUGAACAAAAAUGCUCUUUGUUAAUAGUUUGGUCCAAAAAUGCCCACGUUGUUAAUAGUUUGACCCCAAAAAUGCCCCUAUUGUUACUUAAUUCAGCCAAAAAUGCUCUUUUCCUAAUAAAGAUAUUGUUUCUUUUCUUUUUAGCACAUUCUUUUUCCUGAUAAAAAUGAUGUUUUUAAAGAACAUUUUUCUUGUUUCGUUUCUUUGAAAAUUCCCCUUUUUAAUGAUAAUUUUUUUUUUAAAAAUAAAAUCCCUUUAACUAAUAAGAAAAAUAGAAUAGAUCUUUUCUUCUGAAUCUCGUUUUAUCAAUUACAACUAAAUAACCUCAUGCCUUUUUAAACUGAUAAUAUAUGUAUAUAUGUGUAUAUAUAUAUAAGAUCAAGUAACCCCACCAUUAAUUUUCAUAUAGGUAAUGAUAAUUUUUUUUCUUGAUAAAAUAUGAAUUUUUUUUAUUUCUUAAUCUUUUUCGAUUUGAAAUAAGAUAAGCAUUAGCCAAUAUAUUCCUUGAUUUUAAACUCAAAAUGAAUUAAAGGUCAACAAUAAUAACCCCAUCAUUGAUAUUUUAAAGAUAUUUUGUGAUUUGAAACAAUGUUAUAAUUUUCAUUUUUUUAUUUUUUGUUAUCAUUAUAUAAACGAAACUAAUGAUGGGUUAUUAUGAUCUUAUAUAUACGACCUAUAUUACAGGUUAAAAAAUAAAUGACAUUAUUUGAUUUUAAUUGAUAAAACGAGAUUGAAAUGAAAAGUAGUUACUUGCCGCUUUUUACUAGUAAAGGGAUUUUAAAAUUAAGAAACAAGAAAUGGGUCCUUCAAAAACAUUAUUUUUAUUUGGAAAAAUGUGUUUAAAAUGAUAAGAUACAAUAUGUUUUAUCACAAAAAUGACUUUUUUGACUCAAUUAAUUAACAAUAAGGGCAUUUUUGGCCAAACUAUUAACAGAGGCCAUUUUUUGUUCAAUUUCACAUAGUUUGGUAUUUUUGACUCUUUUCCGUAUAAAAAAAGGUUUUUUGAUUUAAUUUAACCUCCUUUUUUGGUUUUCAUUUUUUGCUUUAGAAUACCGACUAACUGAUUCCCCAUGAAAUGGUACUCUCUCUGUCCCUAAUUACUUGUCCACUUUUGAAUUGACACACAUAUUAAGAAAGCAAUGAUUGACAUAGUAAGUUUACUAUUUUACUAUUAAUUAUGAAGGAGAUGAAUUAAAAACUUAAGAUUUUCAAAAAGUUGUACCUUUUUCAAAAGAUAUAUUGAGCACCUUAUUUAACCUAAUAUUGAGCACCUUGUUGAUCAGACAAGUAGAAAUGAUACAAAGCAAGGGUCAUCAAAAGAAACAAUACAAAGCAAGAUUGAAUAAAUGAACCUUCAUCCAAGUACGAACAAGAUUGAAAGAAUCAAAUCACUUUAACGAAAGCAUUAUGGUUCAUCACAAUCCUAGCUAGAACGUUUAGUUACAAAUCAUAUCCAAGAACAACGCAAAACAUAUGUAGAUGAAAACUAUCCAUCAAAAUAUUCUUCGUAUCGAAGAAAAAGCCCAAGAGUUAUUCUCCAUAAAAAUGCUUAGAUCUUAAGAAUCAAAAGAUGACUAUUUAAGGCUUGCUGUUAGAGAGUUGAGGUCACAAUGGCCCUGAUAAAAAAGAAAAAAAAAGGAAACGAGAGCUGCAGUCACAAUUUCCAUCUCAGUUUGAAUGCUAGCUCGAAUCAAUUUCAGCACUUCAAUUUGGCAGUCCUCAGUCGGUAAUUAAGGUGCUGCAGUCGAUGCACUACUUGGAACUCUUGUCUGCGGUUGCAGGCUCAGUGGGACAUCCCUUUUUCUCACUCUGUUCUCAUUGUCUAAUGUUUCCUUUUUGCUUUCUCAUUACCACUUUUUAUCUAUCCUUCUUCCCAUGCAUAAAAAACACAACCAUGAGAUUCAUCCUCAAAUUGAUUAAAAAUCACUUAACAAUAAGCGCAAAAUUGUUCCUUGAUAGGGGAAUUGCCAGACAUUAUGCAAAAUAUCACAUUUAUCCGGUGGUUCAUGCAGUUCAACACUAUCUGUUUGUCAUUUUGACUAAUUUAUGAAGUACAUCAUGCAUGACUUAAUUUGUAUUUUUAAAAUAUAAAUCUACAUGCAUAUAAAAGAUAUCACCAGCCAAAAGGGUUUCGUUUCCAUUUUGUAGCGUAAAUCGUAAUGGUAAAAUCAUAUUACAUAUAGCUUCUUAGCUUGUUUUUCAACACAAGUAAGUGAACUUUGUAGUGAUGUUGCUACUUUUAGAUAAAGAAAAAAUAGAAAGAGAUUGGUCUAAAAAGGAAAAAGGCUUCAGUUUUUAUUUAAUGAACAUGCUUAUGCGAAGUCUAAUGGUUGGGCACAAGCAUGUUGUCAGAUGGAUUACAAGGAUGUAACCUGUUGGAUGUACGACUGAAUACAAGAUUGGGUGUACAAACUAUCAAGACUAGUUUUCCGCUCUCAUCUCUGAUUUUCUCACUCUUUCAACACAUCACGCAUGGUGUUGCUUUAGUUGAUUAGAAUAAAAGGGUCAAAACUGAAACAGUUAUUCUUCCUGCGCAUCUCCUUAAAUGAUGCAUUAUCUGUUGUUUUUUACACAGUAUCAGUUUCAGUGCAUUAGCAGCAAAAUUUACCCUUUCUGGAUGAUGUGUAUUUUGUUUUUUCCUUUAUCAUCUUGGUGUUUCCUCUUUGGCAGUCACUUCUAGCAGCUUUGGGAUCUAUACAAUUUGUCUCGAACAUAGCUUUUGCCUACUUUGUUUUGAACAAAACAGUGACAAUCAAGUAAGAUAACAUUUAAAUUUCUUCUAUUAAAAUCAAUAAGGACCUGAGUAUAGACUACCAGCAAUUCAUAGAAUUGAUUGCUGAUGUAUGGUACUUAUUAUCCUCAUUAUACAAGUUACAGUCUGAUAAAUAUCUUUCGUAUUGCAGUGUACUGGUAGCCACUGCCUUUAUUGUUCUUGGAAACAUCUUCCUUGUAGCCUUUGGCAACCACCAGUCACCUGGUAUGUGAUGGAAGGUGAAAAGCUUGUUGUUUUAGUUGCUUGUAUUUGUACAGAAUAUUGGGUUUCUUCCAUAGAGUAUCAUAUUUUGUAUACCUAAAAAAAAGAGUACCAUAUUUUGUACAUUCAAUCAAUUUUUGGAUACUACGUGUAUACAGGAGUUGUUCCAAUAUAAAUAAAAUUAUUUACCUUACAAAAGAAUAUCUCAUACCAUGAAAAUCUGUUAUAGGACUGACAUAUAGUCGACUCCCUACUUGAUACUUCUAAGUUGAUCCCGUACUAUGACAGUGCCUUGUAUAUAUCUUGGGCGAAAUGGUCUGAUGGAUCCUUAUACUUGUAUCAGUUUGUAUUCAAGACCCUUUUACUUAACCAUUUGUCAAUUGAACCCUUAGACUCAAUUAAAAUGAUACUUUUAAGCCCCUCCACCCAUGUGUGUAGCUCACUCUCCUUUACAUAAAUGACAUGUCAUAUCCACGUCAUAUAUAUUAGUGCCAUGUCAUAAAUUUCAUAACUUUUUUUUAAAAUUAUUAACCAAAAUUAUUUAAUAAAAGGUAAAAUAAUAAAAUUUUAAUUUAUUCUUAUAGUAAACCUUCAUACAUCUGAUUCUCCUCAUUUUCUCUGUUCACGGCCAACAUCUACUGGAGAAGCCAUCGCUGGCGUCGUCACCACUUUUGCCAGCGAAAUCACAUAUACUCUCUCCCUCACCUGUCUUCAUCUCCGCCGCACACCAUCACCAUUUCCUUUCCGCCUCCAACCAUCACUAGAUCUGGCCGAAAAACCUCUUCACCGCCAUGACCAUUGGGAUACAAAACUGUUCUCAAGACUAUUAGAAGCUCCAAAGCAAAACUUGGUAUCAUUGCCAACAACUGUCCUCCUAUCAGGAAGUCUGAGAUAGAGUACUAUGCUAUGUUGGCAACGGUUGGAGUACAGUAUUAUUGACCCAGGUGAUUCUGACAUUAUUAAAAGUUUGCCUGCUGACCAGUGAAGAGGCAUUUGAUUUGAUGCUGUUUUGGAUCCUAUUCGGAAGUUGCCCGAUUGUUAUUAAGAAAAGUAGCUAUGAUUGAUGAGUUUGGCAACUUUAUUUAUCACUUGUUGGAAGAAAGUUUUGAUGAUGUUUAAUCUGAUUUUAACAAUUUUCCAAUUUUCUUGAGUUAUUGUUCAAUCUACUAUGUAGACUUUGAUCUGUUAAAAAAAUAAAUAAAAUUUAACCCAAAAAUUUGCUUUUCCACCUUGCUUGGAAGACAUGGUUGAUUUUCUAGGGUUAAGAGUUUGGAUCUGUUGAUGAAAACUCUCUCCUAACCCAAAUAGUUACGUUUUUGCUAACUUUUGGGAUGUUUCUAUGUUCACUGAAUGAAUCAGGAUGGGGCACUUGGUCCUUUCCAAUAUAUACGGACAUGUAUUGUGGUGCCUUUGCCUAUCAAUAAUUCAUAUUGGCGUUAAAAAAAAAAAGUUAUUCACUCGCCUAAAGGAGCGUGAAGUUGCACACUUUUGCCAACUCAGACAUUUUAAUGCCACAUAAGUGUGGUCAAUGGUCAGAGGGAUUUGUUAAAUUGUGUUUUAUUGAGUCUAAGGGUUCAGUUGACAAAUGAUUAAGUAAAAGGGUCCAGAAUACAAAUUGAUACAAGUACAAGGGUCCAUCAUACCAUUUCGCCUAUAUCUUGCUACCAACACUUUCGAUCUUAUUUUUUGUAAAAAAACCAGGAACCCAUGUUAUUUGCUUAUGAGACUGUUCAGACCAUUUUAGCAUAUACACUCAAGUAAAGUGAAAUUUAUGCUAGAUGAUGGUGGACCUUAUAAAGGUUGUUGAUUUAUGCUAAAACAACUUUGUUACUCUUGUGUUUUGAAGCCUGUUUUGAACAACAUUUUUAUUGAGCCAAGGGUCUAUCGGAAACACCCUCUCUACACCACAAAGGUAGGGGUAAGGUUUGCAUACACCCCACACUCCCUAGACCCCACUUGUAGGAUUACACUGGGUAGUUGUCUUAUCAAUAACCUGUAAGACCUAAAGUGGCUGAAUUGAGAAGGGGAAAAAGGCCUAUGAAAGUUGCAGGAAAAGGAUUGUACAUAGUAUAUUCAGCAGAUGUAGGCUGCAUAUUAUGUUUAUAAGUUGCCAUAAGGUUAAACUAUUUACCUUAUCAAAAAAAAUAAGUCGCCAAUAAGGUUGCAUUCUACUAGACAUUGCUUGAGCAUUUGAUCUUUUUCUGAUUGUGUUGUACCCUGAUGUAUCUUUUCGCUGCUCGGUGAUCUUCAUACUUGAAUCAGUUCUGGGUACUUGAGUCCUUGUGCAUGCUGCCAGCUUAAGUUGAAAAUUUACCCACAUUUCAUGUGACAUCAGUAACAAGCCUUAUUACCCCAUAAUUCUAUUGUUGUUCUUUAUUUCCUUUUUUUUUUCUUGCUAAGAAAUUGGAAUUUCGGGUAUUACUCUUAGAGCAUGAGGCAAAUUGUUCAAACCAUUCAGAGAGCCAAUUCCUUACUUAAAAAUGGGGAUACUAAGAUAAUAUAUUUUCCAACAAAGAGAAAUGUGUCAUUCUUUUUGGUACAUACUAACUAUGCAUUUAGACAAUCAUAUGCUCUGCUUUAUAGUAAUGUAUGAUUGUAUAUGCUUUCAUGUUUACCUUAUCGAACCAAAUAAAGUAGAAAAGAAGAAAAGAUUGUUACUUGCUUCCAACAGAUUAUAUUUUAUUAUCAUCCUUUCUUUGUAGUUUACACGCCGGAGCAGUUGGCUGAGAAGUACAGCAACAUUACGUUUCUUCUAUACUGUCUCACUUUGGUCUUAGUUGUUGCUUUACAUCAUUCAAUAUACAAGUAAGUCACAAUGGCACAGUCAAUAAUCUCUGUACCUUUUUUUGGUGUCAAGUAAUAGUAUUCGAUGUUGUUCGAGUUCUUCAAAAAUACCAUUGGGUGUGUGUCGGAUCCUUCAAAAACUAUGCAUUUUUGGAUGAUAUGACAUGGGUGCGGCAACAUUUUUGGAGGGUCUGAGCAACAUAGAUAGCAUUCUUUAUAAAUAACAUGUCAAAUACUUCAAAAAAAGAAAAAAAAAUAACAUGUCAAAUACCGUGACUUAUAAAAACUUAGCCUGCUAGAAGUAAUGAAUUUGGGAUAUAUACCUUCAAAGUAAAUUUCGAAAAUUUAACAUCUUUAACCUACUUAUUGACCAAAUGAGUUAUUGAUGGCUAUAACCAGGUGAAAAUAAAAACUCUUGCUAUAAACUGUGGCGCUUGCUCCUUGUGAUGUCUUUCCUGCCUUCAUCUCCAGUUAUGGACUUCAACUUCUCUUUGUUCUCCACGCAUGCUUAUACAUGCCACAACUAAAGUGACUAUGCUAAGAAUUGCUGUGUGUCCCUUUUGAUUCUUCAUGGCUAUGAUUAUAGUCAAAUAUCAACUUAAGUGGGACUAGUUCUACUUUUGUAAGUCAGGUUCACUAAAUAUUGUCAGAAUAGGAAUACGUAUAUACAAUCCUACUUAGAAUAGGAACAGUAAUCCUAGUUAGAAAAGGAGUCUAACAUAGUGUGUAUAAGUAGGGUUUCAAUGUAACAAUGUAGAUACACAAUUGAAUAGUAUUCUUCUCCUAUAUUUCUCAGAUGCAAACUUCACUUAACACCCAUGAGGUCGUGUGUUUGAAACUUGCCAGCCCUUGUUUUAUCCAUUUUUAAAGCUUCUUUUAGCUAAAAAGGGGAAAACCCAAGGAAAAGCUGGAUACAAAAUUCGAACCCACUUCCUUUAGGUGGAGAAAAGAAGCUUUGCGGCAAUUUCAACCAGUGCACCGAACUCUUCUCUGUGUCUUAGGGUGCCUACUAAAAUAUAUUUUCAUAUCUCAAGGUAUAUAUAUACAUAUAUAUACAUAACUUUCUUUCUCAAGAAAAAUAUAUACAUAACUUUUCCGAAGUUAACAGGUGCACGUACACUCCACCCUUCCACGUGGGUUCACCUCUAUAUACUGGUAAAUUUAGAAGUGGAUGCUAAGGAGCUGUUUGGUUAUAAGUUUUACUCUCCCUUCUUUUUAGGUUCUUCCUGGUUUUGGAAGUACAAUGUUCUCAACAAUCGGAAUUAUUUCCUGAUUUUUUUGGAUUGAUCCAAAUUUCCAAUCAACAUAGGACUGUUUUAAUGAAUAAGAGAAUGCUAGAUUUGCGCACAAUCUAGAAUCAGAUUUUGUAACCAGUAAAAGCCUAUAGAGAUAUCACUUGGCCAGCCUUAUCAAAGGUAAAAAAGGAGAUUGCCACUAGGGUUUAGUAGUUGAAGAAAUGUCGUGUUCGUAGAAAGAAGAGAAGGUUGACAUAUACCGGACGAGAACUCUAGCUUUACUUGUUCCCAGAAAUGUCUCUGUGUCAUUUGAGUGGAGUGGGAUCAUAUUGCUUUUCCUAGAAACAUGUAAGGUCGAGUGAUUCAAUAUAAGCUAAAAUGGGGUAGUGUCACAACCUAAAGUAUACCCUAGGCGUAACAUGGCGUAUAGAACCCCGAGAGGCCCUAGACAAGCCACUUAACAUACAUCAUUACAUUGUACAAGAUAAUAGAAUUAAAGACUUAGAUAGCAUUUCAUACAUCAAUAGAGUUUGACAAAAAGCGGAAGUUUAAUCAUAAGUCUCAAAGCCAUCUAAUACAUCAUAAGGAAAGUGAUUGGGACGUAACCCAUACAUCACAUACAAAGUCGAAAACAAAAAUGACAUAAAACAAUAAAGAAUCUCAGUCCUCGAAACAUGAGGACUCACCAGUCUUCGAAGCCUCUGAAGGAUCAACUAGCCACGAGUAUGAGAGGUAGGAGCGUUAGACCCUUCAUUAGUGAAACAAUGUAGGCACACGUAUGCAUUAGCACAUGGAAUGUACCAAGUAUGAGGCAAUAUGCAUAAACAUGAACAUGAUAAUAUACAUGACUUAAAAUGAAUAACGAAACAAUUAAAAGCUUAUAGAGAAGAAAUGACAUGAAGAUCAUAAAACAUAGUCAAAUACAUUAACAUAAAGGACAUAAGAAAAGCUUGAAGAAAACAUAGUCAUUGUUUGGGAUAUUAGUUUUAACCGACAAUAAGACCAUGAGAGCUAUAUCAUGUAAUCUGGUAUAUUCCUCGUACCGAAAGAAGGGAAAACUACUUGCCAAGGUAGAAUCCGUACAUAAUCCACUCGCUAGGUCACUUAAGACAUCCUACGGGGCAUGUAGUUUGGGACUAGAGGUUGCUAGUAGAGACUACCCUAUUUGAGCCUCCACCUCGAAGCCCUCUUGGUGCUAAGUCUAAUUCCAACGGAAUGGAUAAAAGUCAAAAUACCAAUUUAACAUAGGGAAAUGCAAUGAUCACUACCAAUCCAUGUCUUUCAAGAUCAAAACAUAGAAUAACUCCUUAAACAUAAUUCAACAUGAAUGAGAAAACCUUUCAGCAAUGUGAAUUCAUUUGUGAGAAAUACCUUUCACAAUCAUGAUCAUCAUAGUAAGUGAGAAAUCCUUUCACAAUAGCAUCAAUACUUUCCUUUCAAAACAUCAUAAUUCAUUUACAAUAACUUCAUGAAAACAUGCAUAUCUUCAUAAAUUCAUAAUUCAUAGUUCAUGGAUUCAUCAUAGGAUCAUGGUUGAAAAACAUAAUUUAGGCAUGGGUAAUUGAAAUUUCAACUAAAUAUCAUAGAUUAACAUCAAGUAAUGCAUUAGAAGACUUCAUUAAUGAUAAUCAAUCAUAAUUGGAUGAAAUCCACAUUUAUUGAAUUGAAACCCUAACUUGAAUCAAUUGAAAUUGAAUUGGGGAAUUGAAAUCCUUGGGGACCCCAUGGAGGAAAGGACUCCAUGAGUGAAUACACACAUACCUUGAUCCUUUAGGCCCAAGAAAAAUGGAGAAUUGGUAGACUUGAAUGGAACCCUAGCUCUUUUCUUCUUCCUUAAACUUGAGAGAAUUGGGAGUAUGAAUUUGGUCAAGUUUAGGGAAUUUAGGAGAAUGAGUUGAAAUGGGUAAAUUGGGGGCUUAAAACGUUUAUAUAGAGCUCAAGGUAGAAGGAAAACGACAUAGUUUUAGGUUAAAACAAUUAGAAAAAGACCCAAAAAACCUUUAAAAAUAACUUUCGAGCCUCUCCUACGGUCCCUAGGUCCUUCUACGGACUGUACUGGUCACCGUAGAUAGGUUCAAAAGCUAUUAUUUAGAAACUAUUAUUUAGACCAACUUUUGACGGAACCCAUGUAAGACUUGUAGGUCUUCUUAUGGUCUGUACAUGCCAUUCGUAGAAACCAACUUUACCCCUUAAAAUUUUACUAAGUCUGGGACUCACCUACGAGACCUACCUACGACUCAUACAAUGGUUAACAGACCGUCCUGGUGAACCAUAAAAAGGGGUACUGGGAUGUGAUUUUUUUUUGAAAUUUAUUUUCCACUUCCUACGUUGCCAUCUACGGACCGUAGAAGCAUCUACGGUCCGUAGAUGGGACCUGAAACCAGACUUCAGUUCAGAAAUUUAAUUUUAUCCUUUUUCCAAGUUCCAAGGUAUUACAGGUAGUUUGGUGGUGAAUUUGGAUGGAGUCCCAUUCCUUUAAAAAAUGGUGUGGUCAGGUCAGGUCAUAAAAUACAAGAUGUGUAUUGAUUAUUUACCUAAUAAAAAAAAGUAAAAAUAUAGGAUGACUUCCAGAGAGAAGCUCAUACUUUUCUCUAAAUUCUAGGAAGAUGGAGAACAUGUCUUUCAAGGAAGCUUUAGCUUGACCAACUUUGGAUUUAGGAGGAAGAUGUCAAAGGAAGGAGCCAUCGAGAGAGCCCAUCUUCUCUCUGUCGGAAGAACAUACUUUAAAGAGAAGGACUUUUGAAAUCCUAUUUGGCUGGGCUUUUUCUAAAUGGGUAGGUUCAUCGAAGGUCGUUUGAAACUGUAGUGGCUAUGUUGAAGAUUACGCAAAUGAACGACACCCAUUUCUUGUUUCGUUUUGUUAAUGAGGAGCAAGCACUGGAGAUUCUCAAUGGAGGAAAACGAUGGUUCAAUGAUAAUUUUCUGUUUUGGACCGGUGGACAGAGUAUGAGUGAUGUGUUGAUCCACACUUUCCCUAAUUUGCUGAAUUACUGCCUCCCUUUGACAAGGUAACCUGUAAAUGCUUGGAAACUCACAUGUUACCCCAAAAGCUCUCUCUACUCCCAUCCCCUAUCCUAAAAGAUAUAUCAUAAAAAAAAAUCUACCCAACCCUUGAUGAUAUUCCUCCACACUCCACAUCCAAAUGGUAAUGUUAGAUGAUUGGUGUCAUUGUAGGGAUUAUAUCUUUUUGUAAGGUUUUUGCUUUUUGGUAUAAUUUUUGUAAAUGAGUGGGUCUUGCCGUUCAUUGGUGGAAUUUAUUACGCUCUCUGUGCCACAGUUCCACUUUAUGUGUCCUAGUUACUAAUUGAAGUGUCAAAGGAUACUUUCCUUGACCAUAAUUUUUUUAAAUUCUUUUAAAAUAUUUUGAAUUGUUUACUAUUGUGACCUAUAAUACUUUCUAUAUAGUUUCUAAAUAUGUAAAUUUAUUUCAAAAUAAAUUUAAAUUGGAUAUCCUUCUAAACAUUGCAGCAGUAGAAAGCACAAUGCUAAGUUUGAAAAACAACAAAUCAUUAAUUUGUCAUAUUUUCUAUAGAUCUGUAUUGGAGAAAGAGGAUGCUUAUCUCGGUAGUUCUUGCAUAUCUAAUGUCAAUCAUGCAGGAGAGGAGAACUGAUGCUUGCUGUCCCUAUGAAUGAAAGUAAGCCAUAUUGGCACAUGCUGCUUCCAUUUUCGUAUGCAGUUGUUUCAGGUGCUGUUGGAUCAUGUUCGGUAUUGUUUGCGAAGUCUCUGUAAGUGGAAUAUAUGGUUCUUUGCCUUCUAUGGAAGAACUGAAUAUUAUACAUUUGACGCUGAUUACUUCUAUUUGUAGUUCAAACAUGUUAAGAUUGUCCAUGUCAAGUGGUUAUUCAUUGCACAGCUGGUUCACGUAUUCCAUGCUCCUGCUGUUUCUUAGUACAGCUGGAUUUUGGGUAAUAGUGAUGGACUCGUUCAUUGCGUUAUCGUUCAAUUGUUGUAAAUAUAGAAUACUUGAAACAUGUGUAAUUCAACUGACUCUGUUCUUGAAUUUAUCAUCUUCGCAGAUGGCAAGGUUAAAUGAAGGACUUUCGUUCUUUGAUGCAAUACUUAUUGUCCCUAUGUUUCAAAUCACUUGGACGUUUUUCUCCAUUUGUACAGGAUUUGUGUACUUUCAGGAAUACCAGGUUUGCUCGUUCUCCGUGUCUACGGCAGGGCAUGUUCUCCUCACCCUUUCCUUUUCUAAAAUGGAUGUAAAGAAUUAGAAAUGAAUGUGUGUUGGGCAUAAAUUGCUUGAUUAUUUCCUCAAACAUGUUUGGGUUUAAAAUAGCGUUUACAAGUAUUCCUAAAGAGGAAAGGGAAAUAAUUCCUAAUUUUAGUUGCACAAAUAUAGGGAUUCUAAACCUUUCCCAUAUUUACAAAGAGUAAUCACUUCUCAUACUACUAAUUUUCAAGUUCUAACAGCCUUUCUCAAGUGGGAAUGUACAUAUUAUUUGCUCUCAACAUGCCACUAAUACAGAUUCAACACUGGAGUUACAGUGACUUUAUGAGAAUGCCUUCUAAUUGAUCACUGGGGUUGAUAAAACCUGUCGCAAUGCACCUUGACUAAAUUUUUUGUUGAAUGAAUGACAAUUUACUUCUAUAUGCUUUGUUCUCUCGUGAAAUACUGGGUUAAAGCAAUGUAUAUUGCAGCUUGAUUGUCACAGAUCAAUUGCAUUGGUGCACCUCCUGUACCUCUCAACUCUUCAAGAUCUUUCUUUAGGAUAUAAGCUUACAUGUGGCCAAAGCCAUUACUCGAUAUUCCACUGUGGUUCUUGAUCUAGUUGCUACAUCUUGCUUUUUGCUUUUCCAAAUUAAUAGAUUUCCUCCUGUAACAAGAACUUAGUUCUAAUUACAGAACUAUUAGGAUUCCAAACCUUACCAUAUUUACAAGGAGCGUGCUCUUGCUAUAUUGACAAUCUAACAAUAAAGUUGGGAGAAAGAUCUAUGGUCUCCAUUUUGGUAGUCUAGUUGAUUGCUGUAUCUAGGAUGACAAUUGUUUCAACUUUGAUUUUCAAGUGAGUUUGCAGACUAAAAACCUAAAAUUGUAAAUUUACACAGGUCUUUGAUGCAUUAAGAACGACAAUGUUUAUUCUUGGAAUGAUUUCUGUAUUUGUGGGCAUUUCUUUGCUUGCCCCAGAUGAAUCAAAAGGUAUUGUCAUUUUAAAUCACAGGUUCUUGAUAAUAAAAUGUGCCUAGGGCAUGAAAGACUUAAAAGUAAUAUCUGCAGGAGGUGAAGUGAAGGAUGGUUCUUUAGUUUCAACAACUUCAAAUUUGUCACAGGAUGAGGAGAGGUAUGUGGUCUCCACCUCUUAUUAUGUAGACAUUGAUUAUUGGAGAUUGAGUAGUAAAUUCUUGCUUUUAUCUCGUCAUUAAUUCCUCAUGGUUAAAAUUGCUUAGCAGAAUGACCUGUUAUUCCCUGAUUCCUGCCUUUUUAUUGGUAUUUAUGCACAUGUCAGGCUGUUAAUGCCAUCUGAAGACUCCCAAAUUAAGGAUAUAAGAUCAUUUGGACGAGUUAUGCUGAUGAAAGCUGCUAAUAUGAUUGUAAAGGCAAAGGUUCUGAUGGUUGUCCGUAUUUACUAUUCCAUGAAGGAUAUUUCAUGCUUACAUAUCUAAAGAAUAUACUUUCACACAGGCUGCAUGUUCAGUAUCACUAGGCUUUGGAGAAGACUCACUUCAUGCAUCAUCAGUGCUGGUGAUGCCCAUGGUUUCAUCGAAAAUAACAGGCUUCCGAGGAGGUGGCCUUGAUCGGGCAAAAAUAUUAUCUGUUCGAGGACCAGGUUGGAACAAAUUCGCAGUUGAUAAAGAUAGUGAGACAAUCCUGGAGACAACUGCGAUGUUGCCCCAAGGUAUCAACUUGGACUAGGAGAGCGUUGCAUUGGUUUGUGGAGAUGGACAUGCCAAUGGUGUUUAUUUCUUCUUCCUUAUGGAGAAAAUUGUGUCUCUACUUCCCAUUUACUAAUUGUACACUUUAUUAUUCCACUCGUAGUCUGUCAGAAGGCAGCAGAUGCUGGGACGGGGAGGGGAAUAGCAUAUGUUUGAAGAGGUAGGUCUAGCUAGCAUGAUUUGUAAGGGGAAUAUACUACGUUGAUGAGAACACUUUGAUAGAAUGCUCAUUUAUCUCUUUGAGGCAUAAUCUUAUAAAUUGUUUUUGUAGUUUACGAGAAUACUAGGUUUGACUGUAAGGCAAGACAUUCUGCAUUAGCUGCUGGCUGUUGAUAGUUUGAGCUCGCGUGAUUGUUUUACUAGUGUAAUUAAUGUUCUGGUUUCCUCUGUCUGGUGACUGGCGCAUAUGAUUCUGGCUGCAACCUAAUCAACUACAUAGCCUUAAACAGAUAAUUAAAUGGUCUUUUAGAAUCAUGUACUCUAGAUAUACUAGCAGAGUCCAGAAUUUCGAUAAAUGGCAGUACAGUAUUUAAGCAGGAAGGAAUGGGGUGGGACAAUUAAUAACGAUGUGAAACUUGGAUGGCCCAUAGAGAGUUACGUAGUAACAAGGCAAACACUAAACAGCUUAACUGGAAUUAUUUGCAAUCAUUUCUGUAAGUUAGACGUGAGUUUGGUAAUUUAGUAGGCAUGUUCUACAUUUAUAUGAAGUAUAAAAAAUAUUUUACUCUCCAUAAAAUAGCUCUAAAAAAUUAUUCAAAUCAACUUCUCAGCAAUUAGAGUACACUUUUUUCUAACCAUUUUUUAAGUUUGAGUUUAUUUUAGAGAUAAGUGACAGAAAUACACCUGAAUUAUCCUUUUUUUUGAGUUUCAUACCUAAACUAAACACACCUCAGCGGUGUAUGUAAUGCACUCUCUUUUAUUUGAAAAAACAUUGACACAUAAUAUUUCACAUGGAUUAAAUAUUUCACCUUGAUAAAAAUUAAAUAAUAAACUAUUAAUAUUAAUUAAAAAUUAAAAAUUUAAGUAUCACUAUCCCGAAAAUUAAUACUUUUUUAAAAAAUAAAAUUUAAAUUAAUUUUCUUACCCUUUCCACCACAUCCACCCCCCCGGCCAACAAUCCUCUAUCCUUUUAUUUUUUUUAAAUUUCUUUUAUAAAAAUUCAUACUUCACCCCACAACCACCCACCCACUCAUUCCCCCCAAAAAAUUGAUAUUAUUUUAUUUUUUAAAAAAUAAAAAUUCUACCACAUCCUAUUUAACUCUCUGUUCCUAAUUAUUUUUAUUUAUUUUUUACAUUUUUUUCAUUUUGUGUUAGAUAUGUACAUAUAUUUUUAGGAAUAUUUUUUCUACUUGUGUACCGAAUAUAACAUAAAUAAUUUUUUUUUUAAAAAGUCGUGUGGCGGCAAGUAAAAAGUAUUUUCGAUACAUAAUAUCUAACACAAAACGAGAAAAAGAUUGAAAGCAGAAGGUUAGGUGGAGUGGGUAAUUUUUUUUUUUUUUUUAAAUAUAAUAAUAUCUAAAUUAGUAUUUGAAGAUGGGGAAGUAAACAAAAUUAAAUACUUUUAUAAAAUAAAUUCAAACAAAAAAAUGGGGGGAGUGAGAGUGUACAGUGAGAGGAAGUGAUGAAAUGGGGUAAGAAAAAUAUUUUACAUUUUAUUUUAUAGAAAAAAGUAUUUUUUUGGGAUAAUAAUUUUUAAUCUUUGAUUUUAACUAACACAUAAUUUAUUAGUUUUUGUCAAGGUGGAAUAUUUUGUCUAUGUGGAGUGUAAUGUGAUAAUUUUUUUAAAUUAAAGAGAGUAUAUUACACAAUACACACUUUGGUAAGAGUGUUAUAAAAGAGAGAAAUGUGUUUCUCAAACUAAUAAGUGAUAGUUUAUGUAUGAAACACACUAUCUCAAUAGUUUAGGUAUAAAACUUAAAAAAAUGAAAUAAUUUAGGUGUGUUUUUAACCUUUAUAUUUUUGUUUUAUUAGUAUAGUCCUACUUUUUAAUAUUUAAUCAUUAGUGGUUGGUGCAAAAUGCAUUAGUGUCAUCCUCGGUACCAAUUUCAAUUGUGCCAAAAGUUCUGCAACAUAAGCACAUGAUAGAUUAUAAAAUUUUAAACUGCCCUACCCCAAACAAAAAAAAGAAGCUAAAUGCAUAUCAAUUGUGCUAGACGGUAAAAAUAAACCGGACAAAAGUAUUCUCUCCCAUCCAUAUACCCUCCUUAAAAAGGAGAUCCUCCAAUUCACAUUUAGACUUUAAAUAAGAAAGUCUUCCAACAACCAAAAAGGCGACUUUGGAAAGUAAGAUUUGUUAGAAUAAUCAUUAUCCUCCAUUUUAUUUCUCUUUGGAUGAUUCUUUUACCCUUCUAACCAAUUGUCAUAAAUGGGCCAUCAGUGCCUCGUUGAUAUGUUGUGUAUUACAAGACUGAUUUCUAUAUUACAAAAUUGGGGAUACUGUACAAUGUACAUUGGUACAAAAAAUGCACAAAUUCUCCAAGAAGUUGAGACUCCUGGAGAAGAAUGAUUCUGCAUUCCAGGACAAAACUCAACUUAUAUAGAAUGAAGAUGCCGCAGUUCCAAUAUUAUUGAACCUAUGGCAGCAAUUGCUCAAAUUUCAAGUAAAAUUUGGAGAAUUGCGAUGCCCAUCAGCAAAUUCUCUCACUAAACGCUUCAGAAUUCUCCCCCCUUUACCUUGCAUAUGCCCAUAAUCACUUGUUCCUCCAACGUUUCGCCUGCUCUCAAUAUAAUCUGAAGCAGCAGCAGCAAGUGCUUUAAUCCAGAGAGGGACCAAAGACUCUACUUCGCCAUGCUUUAGGUACUCAGCUGGUAAAUUGUGUACCUGGAAAACGAUUAUUGGUCACACAAAAGAGUGUUUUGAUACAACUCUCCCCACAAAAACAUUGUCUCAAUGCAAUUCUCUCAACUUAUCAUAGUAGCUGGAAAAACAUUUUUUCUUAUAGAAGUAACAAAUGAUGACCAUUUCAUAAGGCUCAUAUAAGUGCUGCUUUCCUUCUAGGAAGUUUGCUGUGCAUGAGCAGCAGGAUCAGUUUUGAUAAAAUAAAUGAGAAAGGCACUUAGGAGAGAGAUAGAUAAAUAGUGAUAGAGAGAGAGGACUGACUGCAGAAUGGAGCCAUCCAUGUAAGGAAUCCCAACAAAGAUGAGCCUUCCAGGUGGUUCUUUCACUUAAAUUGCACAUAGCAGCCAAUUGCUGCAAAAGUGUUGCAGACUUGUGAACCUGUUAAGGGAACAGUGUUAGCGAAAACGACAACAUUGUCAAAAAGACCAUAAAGAUUGAAAUCAUCCAACUGUAGUGUUCAAAGACUCCUGCUUUUGUUCCAAAUGGCUUAAGGAUGCUCCACAAAUAAUAGCGAGCCACUUGAUCCUCACGAUAAUAUUUCCUAGUAAAAAAGGAUCCCAUUCUGGCAAAAUUGGUUCUACACGAUCUUGCAUAUAUGACAUUUGAAUUGUAAUUCAAAGAUAAGACUCUAGCAACCUACGGCAUACUUGCAAAAUAAAUGCUUUUGAUACAAAGCAACCUGCACCAAACUUGAUUGCUACCAGUUCUUUCUAUAGUAUCUCGAGGAAUAAACAUGAGCUGGUUCAAUUUACCCUUGACAUUGCAGAAACACCAAGUAAAGCAUACAUUAGGUUUGACACUAGGCCAUCGCCGCUGUGAGAUAUGACUUGUAUUGCCAUAGCAUCAAUUGAACUAUCAGAAAUACCAACUAUGCCUUCCAGUUCAGAACCAUGCGUAAGGGAUUCAACCAAAGCAUUUAAGCCAGUCUCUAGGAAACCUGAAGCACAAUAUCAAGUUAAGAGUUUCUCAUUUAGACUAGAAUAACAAAUCAUUAGAUGUAUAGAACCGCAUUUUUACUAAAGGUCAGAAUCAGAAGAAAAUUUCGAUGUGAUGAAUAGGCUAUACUCAACAGACAUAACAAAUCAUGUAAAAAAAUGUGAAAAUUCAUUAUGGUGCACUAUCUAAUGGACUUCACAAGAUUUAGAUUAUGGAUAAGGAUCUGAUCAAGAUAUUUUCAUGUUUCACUAUGACUUGUGGUUCUCAUUAAUAGCAGAUCGUAUUGGAAAUAUUUAAUGUAGCAAGUUUCGACAUUUAACAUAUUGCUGGAUAGGGUAGCAGAGAUGGUUCAGUGACGACAGCCUAAGCAUUUUGUUCCAACCACCUUCAGCAGCUCAAGUAAGAUGGACACGACAAUUCAUCAAGUUCACAAGUUUCAAGAUAGAGAAACCUUGUGGAAUUUGACAUUCAGAAGAAAUCUACAAGAUUAGGAGAUAAGAGGAAUUCUAGAACCUUAUAGAAUUAUUAUUUUAUAACAAGAAUGUCAUAUUGUCCAAAGGGAUAGUUGGAAAUGCAAAGAGAUGAAAAUAAAUUUAUUUCAACAAAAUUCUUCUUACACAGGCGACUAAAUAUGUGAGGACACUAGUUACCCACACCUACCAGUUUGGAUUCUCAGAACGUCGAAAAAAAACAUGUUUUCUCACAUGCUUUGCAGCAAUGGGUCUAUUCUAAUAGCAGGAACAUUUUAAAAAAAGAUUAACAAACAUGGGUCAAUAUGGGUCAAACAGAGGAUUCAACAUCAAGUUCUAGACUUGACAGGUUUUUGUUAUCCACUGCAUGGGAAGAGACGGUUCCAAGUAAACCCCUUUGCCUAGAUUGAUUGUGGACCAUUUUCCAAUUUUGUUGGAUGAAGCAGAGGAAGACACACAAAUUCCCCCUACAGGUCCGAGAACAUGUGUUUAAGUGACAAACUUUGGAGAUAGAUGAUGGGAUGGUGGAAUGGUCAUCCGGUUACUGACAAGUCAAAAUGCCAAGAAAUUGAAAUUGUUGCAAGGGGAGAUAAGUGUGUGGAAUAAGGAGGUGUUUAGGAGGGUUGAGGUGAAAAUGAAGGGGAUUCUGAUAAAUUAGGGAAGCCAAUGAUGGUUGGAGGGCAGAAGGACUUGGGAGGUAAGAGAGGAAGACAGAAAAAAGGAAUUGAAGAGGGUGUUAGCUAGUUUGGCCACUCUAAGAAACUAGUUGGAAAAAAAAUUGAGGGCAUUAAAUUUGGGAAAAUUAUCAAACUAGUCAAAAUUAGCAACUUAUUUAUGGAAAAUAGCUGUAGUUUCAAAAUAUUAUAAAAAAGAGCAAUAUGUUCUUUUUACAAAAAACACUUCCCCUCUCUCUCUUGCCCUCUCCUCUUUCUCUCUCUCUCCCUUGCCCUCUCCUCUCUCUCACCCCUCUCUCUCUCUCUGUUUUUCUCUUUCCUACCAAUAAGAAGAAAUACAUUUAAAUUUAUUAUGUAUCAAUUGUAUUCAAUCAAAUAUAGGUGAGAGUUCUGUAUUUUAUUUCAAUUGUAUUCAAAAAAAUGUAUUUUGUAUUUUUUGAAUCAAUUAUAUUUGUAUUCAUACGAAUACAACAUGCAUUUAUAUCCUCUCUGUCAAAUGUAUUUGUACCCAAUCAAAGAGAGGAUGAAUAAAGUUGUAUUCGUUGUAUUUUGAAUACAAUUGACAAGAUACAAUUGAUACAAAAUAAAUACAGAAUACAAUGCAAAAAAAAUACAAAAUACAAUCAUCUCUCCUCCCUCUCUUGAUCUCGCUCGCCUCUCUCCUCUUAAUAUGUAUUCAUUUUGAUAUAAAUCAAUUCGUAUUUGUAUUCUUUUUCUCCAAAAUCAGCGAAAAAAUACACUCUCUCCUCGAUAUCGCCUGCCUCUCUCCUUCCCCCUCCCCUAACAUUUUGCUAUUAUCCAUUAUUAAGCAAACUAUAUCUAUAGAGUCCUAUUUAAGGCCUAAUGUUUGCAAGUUUCCCAUUAAAUUAUGGUUGGAGUAGGGGAACUCUAAUACUAAUUUCUUUCAGGAUAGAGGUGAAAAAUAGGAGAAAUUUUACAGAGAUGAUAGAGGUAGAUUGGGUGGUGUGUACAUGAGAGACUGUAUAAUAAGCUAUAGUGGGGUUCUACCAAGUUUAUUUAUGGAAGAGGUAGAUUGGAGAAAAAAGUCAUGAGGGAUGCAAUUUAAGCAAAUUUGGGAUAAGAAGAGGGAGUGGAUGGAGAGGGCAAUUGGGAGGAGGAGGUGUGGGAGGUAGUAGAGAGUUACACAGGCUCGGAUCCUAUUUUUAUGAUAUUUGACCGGACACAAAACUUAAGUAGUUAGUGUGCCUUGUGGAUCAUAUACGUGGUAAUGGAAAAAACAAUAAAUAAUGGACAAGAAGUUGGCGAUUAAAAAAUAUCCAAUAAAAUUAAAAUUUGAAGAGAAUAGCAGUCAUGGAGUGGCUAACUGUGUUAUCUAACGUUAUUUUUAGGAUGUCAAAAAUGGCUGAAGAAUGGAGGUGGAGUACAAGUAUACCAUAGUACAAGAACAAGGGUGAUAUUUAGAAUUACAACAACUAUCAGAUAAGAGUAUCAAGUUGCUAAGUCACACUAGGAAAGUUUGGGAAAAAGUGAUGUAAUGGUGAGGAAAUAUGUGUUAUUGCCAAGAACUAAUAGGGUUGCACCAGUUAUCAACCCUUAGCCAAUUUUUAUUUGCCUUGAUGAUAGAUGAACUGAUGCGGCACAUCCAAGCGGAGGUGCCAUGGUGUAUGUUAUUUGCAAAUGACAUCGUAUUAAUUGACGAGAUACAUGACGGAGUUAAUGCUAGGCUGGAGGUUUGGAGACAGACCUUGAAGUCUAUAAAGGUUCAGGUUGAGCAGGACUAAGACAAUACUUGGAGUCAAGUUCAACACUUCUUUAUGCAUGCAGGUAUGUGCAACACUUCAGGGAAAAUGAGAAGUUAGUUUGAUAGUUUUACAUUUGCUUUCUCCCAACAAUUCUGUAGCAGGGCCAAGGGGGAGGUGUUGGAGACUGGCACCAUUCUAAUAGGUUGGAGAUUUUGAGAGAAGUCUGAAUGAAUCUUUCACAGCCAUCAUCCAAGAAGGGAGGAAACGCCGAGUAUCGAAGGCAAUAGACCUAUUAGUUUAGUGAGAAGAUUUUAUCAGAUCAUUUCAAGGUUCUUUCCAAUAGACUAAAAAAGGUCUCGAACAAGAUAGUGUCUACUUUAUAGAAUGCUUUGAGUAAGGUAGACAUAUUGUAGAUACAACUUUGGUGGCAAAUGAACCAGUAGACUCCGGAAGUAAGCCAGGAGAACUGUAUUUGUUGUGAAAGCUAGACGUUGAGAAAGCAUAUGUCUAUGUCAACUGGAAUUACUGGAUUUCAUUCUGCUGAGUAUGAGCUUUGAGUACAAGAGGAAAAAUGGAUCAAAAUUUGCAUAUCUAUCGUCAGAUACUCGGCAUUUGUGAAUGACCGUCCAUGCAGAUUUUUUGGUAGCUACAUGUUUACAUUAGUUGUGGAAGAGCAACAAGCAGAAUGAUGGAUAGAGUAGUUGUAUAGGGACAUUUGAGCAGCUUCUCAGCAAUGUUCAGAAGUCAAGGCAUCAUUAGAGUGACUCACCUAUUACUCACGGAUGACACAUUAGUUCUUUUUGAUGCUGAUAGGAUACAAUUGGAGUAGAGGCAGAAACCGAAAAUCUGAGAAAGAGGAUCACCUAUAUUAGUUGGUGCUUCAUUUGCGAAAUUCGGGGAGGAUGUGGACCACCUCCUAUAGCAUUUCCAGGUAGUUCACGAAUAUGCUGGAAGAUAUUGAGAUGUCUUGGAAUAUAGUGGACCAUACCCGAAUGCCAGAAAAGGAUGAUUAAUUAGUAGGGCGAUCAAGCGAAUAUGUUAGGCAUGUGUGUUGGAUCUUAUAUAAGUUGUAUGGAGAGAGGAACAAAGGGGUUUCAAAGAAAUCAAAAUGAUUUUGUACAUUUGAAGAAUAGCCUUUUAUCUUUAAUGUAUUUUUGAUGCACCCAUGAGGUUCCUAUUUGUAUGGACAAUUGAGUGUCUUUCAUAGAGAAGCAUUUAUUUUUGUAGCUUUUCCCAUUCUUCAACGAAAUUAUCUCUUGAUAUAAAAAGAUUAAAAUGUGUAAGCUAGCGAUUCAUGUGCAAACUUUCAAGUGAAGAUGUAGACAUUUGCUAAUGCGUUGUCCAUAAGAGCUUGUUGUGGUGGACAAUGCUAAAUCUGUUUGGAGUACAGUGGCCAAUGUCGGCAACUGUAAAAGAUGUGAUGUAAGUUAGACCUAUAAGAGGAAAAGAAGGUGUAGAACAUGUGAUGUACCUCUGCACGCUCUUAUGUUGUAUAUAGAGGGAAAAGAACUUAAGAGUUUUAAAAGAUUUGUACAACUUAGGUGCAUGACACUGCACUUAUAUUAGUUAUUAAUUUUUGUCCACCCAUGAGAUCCAUCUUCAUGUAAGUGCUCUACUUUUUAUGAUAUAUGUAUAUUGAGAUUUUCCCACUAUACUAACAAUAUUAUUAUUUUAUUAGAAAAAGACAUAUCUUUCUGUAAAAUCUCUACUUUUUAUAACACUUCAUACUGAGAUAUUUUGACAACAUUAACAAAAUUAUUAUUUCGUCAGGAAAAGGUUCAUCAACUUGAGGAAGGGGAUGGGGCUGAAAAAGUUGUGUUAUCCCUUGAUAUUUUAUCACAAAAAUAUAAUCAACUAAAACAUGCAGGAACGCUUGCUGAGAGAGGAGCAACGCCUGAAUAGUCGUCCAGAAAGUAGUGGCACCAAUUGCUGAAGAGAGGAGUAGAGAAGAAAAGAACACAUUGGACAUGUGGCAACAUACAGUGGUUGGCAUCGCUCACUGGUCGUUGAAGAUAUUUGAGUCUACCAAGAUUGUAAGGGGUCGUUUGGUACAAAGAUGCAUAAUGCAGGGAUUAGUAAUACAUGGUUUAGUUUUUAUCAAGUGUUUGUUUCAUUGCUUCCCACCUAAUCUUGUGUUUUGUUUAAAACUCUAUAAAAAGCUUCUUUCCUAUUAUACUCUUGAGUUAUUAUGAGAUUUCCUAUGUCAUGUAAUUGGGUCAAAGGUAGAUAAUUGCCGGACAAUAUUAUUUUUUGUGGCCUUCUAACUAGUUAGGAGAAGAAUAAUUUUGUCGCCAUGUUUGCUAUUUUCUCACUUGAAUUAUUUGAGGAUAAAACUCUACAAAAAUCUUCUUUACAAUUAUAUCCUUGAAUUUUUGUUGGAUUUUCUAUUUCAUUUAACUAGUCAAGUUAAAUACUAAAAUAUAAGAAAAAUUAUUAUUAUUUUUUGAGGUGUGAUGUGCCACUACGGACAUCAUUGAUAGCACAAUGUAUUUCUGAUUUUUUGUUGGUCAAAUAUACCUUAAACUUUACAUAGAUUUAAGGCUACUUAAAUUGUUCAAAUACCUAAAGCUUAUUAAAAAAAAAGAAAACAAAUAGUUCAAGUGGUCAAUCGACGAACUACAUUUAAGAAAAAUCCAAAAAUAAAAUCAACCCAAUAUAGCAAAUCAAACAUGGAGAAAAAAAUAUUAGUUUGUGAAAUCAUCAAAUAACAUUGAACGAAUUUGAAAAAUUAAAAGAACAUUUAUAACCAUUCCAAUAUAAAUAAAAAAGGACAUUAAAUUACAAAAGAAAUUUAAGUAAAGGGAUUGGGGGAUUGUUUAGUCAUUUAGGGGUCUUAUCCAAGGAUUCUCAAAACUUUAGAUUAGUUAUCCCUCCCUUUUCUAGGGUUAAAAUAAGACCUCAUAUGGGGUAUAACUAAUCCGUGGAUUAAGUUAUAAAUAAAGUAACCAAACAAAGUUUUUGCUGGACUAAAUUUUAAUCCAUGGACUAUUCUAAUUAAUACCGUCUACAAAACGGGUCCUAAAGGUUGUGAUGCAAUAUGGAAAACUAUAUUACGCUAGUAAACAUACUAUAAUUAAAUACAAGUAUUUGAAGAUAAAAUCUUUUUUAGGAUAAAAAUCCUCAAGGGCCAGUGGUGCAUGGUCUGAAACUCCAGAUAAUAGUCCGCUCUCUAAUCUGUUCACUAAAAAGCCUGACAUUUACUUGCGGUAGGAUUCGAACCUGUAAGGUGUGCCUAACCCCCACAUCACAAGCUACACUCUUACUACAAGACCAAAGCCCUAGGGGCUCCUAAGAUCAGUGUUUUGAAAACCAAAAAGUGCAAAAAAGUGACACGGUCCAUAGGGCUUAAAACAAAAAGCAAGAAGUGAAGCACACAAUGUAACGGAAUUAAAAAAUAUUAAACAUACAUGAAUUUAGCACAAUUAAAAUGAAAUUGUAAUUAAAUAAUUAAUUUCAGCAUCCAACAUACAAUAAUCCCAAUAUUAAUCCAACCCCUCAAAGUUGAGAUUCAAAGAAGCGACAUUCUUAUUAGACUUACUUUGUGCACCAUUGUUUGAGGUGCAAACUUCUCUAUAUUGCAUGUAUUUACCCAUGAAGCAUUAAUCCCUCGCUUCACAUACUAUGUUUUGAAUAAUACUGCCGAAGAUAUCCUAUAGAAUAUCCUACAAUUUUCUUUUUGAUGACCAAAUAUUCUACAAUUCUAAAAUUGUAGAGAAUAUUCUACAACUUUUUUCCUUAUUCAAGUACAAUAAAUCUAGAUAUGUAUGAAUAUACGCACAUAUUCUCUAUAUAUUCUAACAAAGAUCAAUAGUAUGUAGAAAAUUAGGUGCCACAAAAUGAAAACAGUUAAUGAAAUGUUAGCAAAAGUUAUGCAGGAUAUUUGAUGGGUGUGGGGACUUCAACUCAUUUUCCCGACUUACAUGACAUAAAUGACAUUGCUGCCAGUGCUGCGCCACGGUGCAUAGCAGUGCAACAUAUAGCUGCCUUUUGAAAUGAUAAUUCAAGGAUGGAGCCAGAAACUACUAACACUUCCUGAGACACAUCCAGAAUAGAAGGUGUCAAAGUUACAAGCUGUUUCUCUAAUUAUGAAAACAAAAUAACGACGUACAUGCUCUAUUUUUUUUUUUUAAUAAGCACCUGCAUAUAGGUAAACAAUAAUGGAAAAACCAUAAAUAUCACUGCCAUAUUUUCAUGAAUGAGAUGAGAAGAAAAACAGAUAAGAUAGACAAAGAGCAAAAAUAAAUAUAAGCAAUGAUGAUGAAAGGAAGACAUUUUUGGGAGGUGAGAAACACAAAGCACAGAACAAGCAACAGAGCUACAAUUAGGUCUAAUACACUUGUUUGGAAAAGAUCACGGGCAAAGGAGCUAAACUGGUUGUAUUUGCCCUUGAACUUUGCAAAUGGUUUAAAUUUGCACUUUAGCUGCUAAUGUUAGCCCAUAAGGGAAAAAUCGACGACUUUGGGUAGGGCAGUUAACAGUGGGAAAACUUGUUCCGUUUCACAUAGUUUGGGGGAAUAUUUUACUCUUUAUCCAUUGAUAAAAGUAUAAGGGUGAUAUAAGAAUAAAAAACUAUAAUAUAAAAUGUUAAAUCAUCAGAUAUUAAUACGUAAUAAAACAUGCAUUUGGUUGGAAUCUUUUCACCUGAAGGAAUUAUUUUCCUCAUAUUUCAAGUUCCAUAAUCAAAAUCAGUGUUUGAUUACUACAUGUAAGAAUCAACUUUUUAACUAAACCUGUACUUCUCAGAGACCCUGUCUGGUUUGGAUUACGUUGCAGAUUUAAUCAGUUUUCCUAUGAUUUAUUAUUGUACAAAAAAUAAGUUUAAAACUUGCAACUGUGAUUUUAAUUAAUUUUGUUAUCACAUAUAUAUAAACAUAGAAAAAGGUAACCAAAAACCUUCGGAGAGCAGCGGAUGAAAAUAGAUGCGAAAUUAGCAAAGGCCUCCACCAGAUCAGGCUCUUGAUCACAUAUAUAUGAGGAAGUAAGAGCCAUAAUUGAUGUUGACUUGGAAAAUCUUUCAAAGAUACUGACAAAAAGAUGUCCAUAUUCUUCUCUACUGCCAAAUUCCUCAAUGAGAAUGGAAGCUGCAAAAGUUACUGAUCAGCUGAGACAAAGGUAGUUGUAUUGGAAAUAUGAGCAACUCAGCUAAGUUGACAGUUGCCAACUCUUACGACUAUCAAAAGAAGAUCAGAUUCAAGCUGGAAAAGACACAAUGACCUAAAGCUGUUUCCUGGUAUAAAUUUCCACAGCCAAAAAACCAGUUAAAGCCUUUGCUUCAGCACUGAAACUGAGACUUGUUCUAAGCAAAGUUCAGAGAAAUAAUGAUACUGGUUUUGCAAAAGGGCAUAGGGGAAGUAAAACACAUCUAAGAACGAAGAAUUGUACACGUCAAAGCUUUGAAGCAAUCUAUAACACUCUACCUGUUCUUAUGUAGCAGUCAUGGCUUUGGAAUGAUACAAAGUUAGUCGAUAAACAAUUAAGCACUCCUGGCAAAACGGAUGUGAAGUGCUGACCUGCAAAUGUAAUGCACCCAAGCAGUAAGUAAUUUAUGUGAUCAAGGUCUCAACUUUCUCUAGGAAGAUACUAUGUACAAGAGACUUUCAGUAAAUAACCUGUUCUUGUAUUGGUUUGGAAACCUAUAUUACCUUGGACUUUUAAAUGGCUUAUAUGUAUACUUGGAAGAGUGGGGGCAGGGGAUUUUUGAGGUUUUGGUGGUUGGAACUUAUCUUUCGUGACUAGAAUUUGAUUGGUUAUUCAUACUGAUGUUAAACUGACAAGAUAUUACUGUGGGUGACCAUAAUUGAGGCUUGGCUGCUAUAAAUGAGGUUUAAGGUGAGUGGGAGUCCUCUCUUAUGGUUGCUUUCAGGGCUUAAUUGUGUUGUAUGUAAACAUGGUCCUAUUUGUUGUGUUUGGACAUGCUUGUAUAUGCAUUUGACUAGUCUUAAAUGUACAAGAGACUACACACGUGUGGUAACUGUAUCACCACUUAUUUAUUGUGAAACAUGUUGUACUUGCACCUGAUAAACUCUAUACAUGACCAAAGACAUUCUUAUACGUGACAUAAAUGUAUCAGCAAGUAUCUUGUAUUGAAUAAGGCUAUGGGAUGGCGGGGAUAAUGGAGUUUUUUCUAUUAAAUCCAAUUAUGAAAAGCCUUGGGGCAGCAAGAGUCAAUUUUUUCAUCUUCUGGAGUGGAUUCCAAGGGUACCGAGAAAGGUGGGCUUUCACUUGACUAGAAUACGUGGUGUACGGGUUACGUCCCGACCACUUCUCCGACAACUAAGAAUAAGAAUUAGAGGAACAGGAAGAUUACAUGUGGUGGUUGGUGCUUGAUGUGUAAGAAGCUUGCAAGAAGACAUGAAUCACCUCCUUUUACAUUGCCGAAGAGCAUCUCGCUUGCGGUUGCAAAUAUUGUCAUGGUUUGGUCUUUAGUGGGUGAUGCUAGAUGCGGUUAAAGAGAAAAACGUUUAAUCUUUAGAUGAAGGAAGAGAAGACGUAGAGCAUGAAAUGUUACUCUACUAGCAACUUAAGUGAAUCACAUGGAGAGAGAAAAAUGGAAAGCUUUUGAUAGAGAAGAGAAGGAUUUAAUAAACUUGAGAAGUAACUUCUUAUACCUUAUUUCCUUUUGGUGUACCCAUGAGGUUUUUACAAUAUAGAAUUGUUGUUUGUAGAGAACCAUAUGUUUUUGUAAGGUUUUCUACUUUUGGUAUAGUCCUUGUAAAUGGGUGUCUCCAUGCCCUCCAAUAACAAAAUUUUAUUACCUUAUAUCAAAAGAACCAUAUGUUUUAAUAAGAUUUUCUACUUUUUGGUAUAGUCCUUGUAUAUAAGUGUUGCCAUGUCACUCUAUUAGAUAAUUUUAAUACUUUAUAUGUAUAAACAAAGGCAAUGGAUUGCUUGUACUUGCAAAACAGUGAGGCUACCUACAUACUUGAACUAAUACACAGGUAAAUUAGAUGCUCAUAGGUUAGGGGCGGAGCCACCUUAGCUUAUGUGAUGUCAUCCGUCACUGCUUCAUCGGAUAGUUUUGCUAUACAUAUGUAUAUAUGAUUAACAAGCAAGAUUAAAAAAAUUAGAUAAAAGGAAUAAAUGACACCCCUUGUUACAAUGGAAGUCUCAGCUCUCAUGGUUAAGCGUUAAUUUUAUUUUGGAGAUAUCAUGGGAUCGAUUCUUAGAGCUACUUGUGUGUAUCUUUUUAAAAGUUCUGAGCAAUACAAGGCUUUGCGCCUCAGUAGUUGUAUUAGUUAUUUUUGUGGCUCAUACACUGCAAAAAGUCCAUGCGCACCUUGACUAAUUCCACGGGAAUACUUGCCACCUCCCACCAGUCCUUUUGUAUAUUAUGAUGUCAUUAUAGUGAAUUGUUCAUUUAUUUGUUUUUAUGCACUCUCCGAAGGAAGAGCACGAAGAAGCGGUCAACAAGAUUCUAAGAUAUAUGAAAAGUUCACCGGGGAAAUGAUUGUUUUUCAGAAAAGGUCAAGAUAGAGGCAUUGAAAGCUUUACAGAUGCAGAUUGGGUAGGUUCUACUAUUGAUAGGAGGUCUACAUCAAGAUACUGUACUUUUAUCUAGGGAAAUCUUGUGACUUCGAGGAGUAAAAAGCAGAAUGUUGUAGCCCGUAGCAGUGCUGAAGCUAAAUAUCGAUCUAUGACCCAUGGGAUCUGUGAAAUGAUUUGGCUUAAGAAGAUGAUGGAAAACUAAAAAAACUGUUUGUGUUACUAAUGAAAUUGUACUGUGACAACAAAGCCGCCAUUAAGUAUUAAUCACAAUCCAGUUCAACAUGACAUAACAAAGCAUGUUGUAGUGGAUAGGCACUUCAUAAAAUAGAAGAUUGAAGAAGGAAACAUGUGCAUGCGUUUCGUCCCAACAAAUCAACAAAUUGCAGAUAUUUUUACAAAAGGCUUGUUUAAACCAAAGCUUGAAAUUCUCGUAAGCAAGUUAGGCAUGAAAGAUAUUUACAAGCCAACUUGAGGGGGCAUGUUGAUUUGUAAAUAGCUAAGUGUGAUUAGAUAUGAUUUUGUAGGAUUUAAAUUGAUCUAACAAAAUCAUGUCUGCUAUAUUAUUAAAUAAGUUAGGAUAUAAGAAUCAUCCCUUGAUUCUCAACUCUCCUAGAAUUAAGGAAUCUGAUUGCUAGCUAGUUUAUUUUUCUAUAUUAUAAAUUUGUAUCUCUAUGGAUGAAUAAAAUUGUACAAUUUCGGUACCAAAACUUACACCUUUUAUGUCGACACCGCUUAUGAGAAAUCCUACAUACGCCCCUGCAAUGGUGGAGCUUACCCUAUCCAGCCAUUCCAGAAGUUGGGGUUGGUAGCAUAUAGGGGUCCCUAGCUACAAGGGAUUAGGAGAGCAACGACUAGUUGAAAUACAUUUAAUGAACCCCCAGUUGAUAUGUUAUAUGCAAUGUGUACUGAAAGUACCAUAGUCAAAAAUAUAUUAGUUUAUAUGUGGAACUAUGUACUUUUGUAUUUUGAACUUGCAUAUUGCUUGUCCACCUUGGACUGAGUAAUCAUUCACUAUUCCUGGUUCGCCCUCUCUUUCACAGCUUAGGAGUACACAUCGAUGAGCUUAAGUAAGCCUUUUUGACUAAUACACUUUGUUGAUGUGGCUCGCCCCUCUUCUUACAUUUUACAGACGUUGAAUUGGGUUACUAUUGAAUUGAUAAUUGCCAAUUGGCUUUGACAUGUCAUCUCACGACAUCUGUUGGAUAACAAAUAUUUGGAUAGUCAGUUGCUUAUAGUAUUAUAUCUGAGAUAUACUUAAGUUUAUUAUCGAAUUAGGCCUACUAGGUGACAAUUUUAGGUACCAAUUUCUAAUGCAUGUCCACAAGGUGACAAAAUUUACUUGUAUAAAUAUGGAAAAGGAAAAGUUGUAAUUGGUAAGCCUGUCGUUCUUGGGGAAAAUUUCAGAGAAUUGAAUGCUGGUUUUAGAGAUUUUUUUUUUAAAUAAAUCAGAAAAGAAGUACCCGAUGACUGAAUUGCUUGGGAAAGAGCUCUGCAUGCUGCCAUAGAUAGAAUAGCAUUUCCAAUGUGCUCCGACUGAAAAAGUUUUUCUAACAUUUGCCAGAAUACUCCUAGCAGCGCUACAAGAGGAUCAUCCACAUCCGAACCAGCAGAAGACUCUGUUGACAGAUGGCUGAAUAAAGUUCCCAACCUGACCAAUUGGCCAAGGCUUUACUACAUAGAAAGGUAUACGGAUGGAAAGCAAAGACCAGCAAGUAAUUCAUAGUAGUCCUUUACAGAAUGGGGAAAAAAAGUUUAGAUUCUUCCCAACCUUCAUAGAACUAGUGUUUUUGCAGAAUCUACGUCAAAUACCUUGUUUUAGACUCUUCGUGGUAAUUAAGACUGACAUAGAGAACAAAAUGAUAGAAAGUAUAGCAGCGAUUAAUACACGUGAUCAUACACAUACUGCAGAUAAAAUUCUAAAAAACUAAUAAUCGAAUUUUGCAUCAGUCAUGUGGAGGGGAUUGGUUCACUUCUCAAGUAAAUGCUCUGUAAGGACUCAAUUUUGUAUGAAAUGUCUCAUACCAGGUUUCACACUUUUGGGAAGAAAAAGAAGGUACAAUUUUAUCACACUUCUUUUAAAAAUAGGAUGCUACCAGGAAAUGUUCAGAUGGUGUAUUGGUCGAAAGAUGGCAGAACAUUUCAAAAUUGGUAUGCUUCUGUGCCAAUGAUAGCCUUGCACUGCAAACUAGAGAGCAGAAUAACAUAGAACAUGAUCUUUGUGAAUGUUACAUUUCAAUUUCUCUCCGUGGCAAUGGCAUGCAAACCUUGAUAAGAAAAAUAUCUGAACUAAUGCAGAUGCAAAAAAUAAUAACGUAGCAAUAGGUUCAAACCUAUGUAAACCUCUUCUUGCAGCAUUAGUCAACUGAGAAUAAGAAGCAGGAUUAUGCCUUAAAGACUGGUCUUGAUUUUCAUCAAUCUGAAACAGAGAAAUUCAUUCUCAGUUAAGGUAAGAGCUUAGAGGACAGUUAAUAAACAAUUUAUAGUACUCUGCAUCAUGUGCUUUCAAACUGAUCCAAUUUUUUUUGGUUAAGGUGAAUAAUUUUAUAAAAAUGGGACAAACCUGAAAAGACCCAAAAAAAGGAGAAAAAAAGAUAAAUGCCAAUGGAGAUCAUAGAGAGGUGUCACAUCACGUUGUCUAUGUUUCUCCUUUAUAUAUAUAUAUAUAUAUAUAUANNNNNNNNNNNNNNNNNNNNNNNNNNNNNNNNNNNNNNNNNNNNNNNNNNNNNNNNNNNNNNNNNNNNNNNNNNNNNNNNNNNNNNNNNNNNNNNNNNNNNNNNNNNNNNNNNNNNNNNNNNNNNNNNNNNNNNNNNNNNNNNNNNNNNNNNNNNNNNNNNNNNNNNNNNNNNNNNNNNNNNNNNNNNNNNNNNNNNNNNNNNNNNNNNNNNNNNNNNNNNNNNNNNNNNNNNNNNNNNNNNNNNNNNNNNNNNNNNNNNNNNNNNNNNNNNNNNNNNNNNNNNNNNNNNNNNNNNNNNNNNNNNNNNNNNNNNNNNNNNNNNNNNNNNNNNNNNNNNNNNNNNNNNNNNNNNNNNNNNNNNNNNNNNNNNNNNNNNNNNNNNNNNNNNNNNNNNNNNNNNNNNNNNNNNNNNNNNNNNNNNNNNNNNNNNNNNNNNNNNNNNNNNNNNNNNNNNNNNNNNNNNNNNNNNNNNNNNNNNNNNNNNNNNNNNNNNNNNNNNNNNNNNNNNNNNNNNNNNNNNNNNNNNNNNNNNNNNNNNNNNNNNNNNNNNNNNNNNNNNNNNNNNNNNNNNNNNNNNNNNNNNNNNNNNNNNNNNNNNNNNNNNNNNNNNNNNNNNNNNNNNNNNNNNNNNNNNNNNNNNNNNNNNNNNNNNNNNNNNNNNNNNNNNNNNNNNNNNNNNNNNNNNNNNNNNNNNNNNNNNNNNNNNNNNNNNNNNNNNNNNNNNNNNNNNNNNNNNNNNNNNNNNNNNNNNNNNNNNNNNNNNNNNNNNNNNNNNNNNNNNNNNNNNNNNNNNNNNNNNNNNNNNNNNNNNNNNNNNNNNNNNNNNNNNNNNNNNNNNNNNNNNNNNNNNNNNNNNNNNNNNNNNNNNNNNNNNNNNNNNNNNNNNNNNNNNNNNNNNNNNNNNNNNNNNNNNNNNNNNNNNNNNNNNNNNNNNNNNNNNNNNNNNNNNNNNNNNNNNNNNNNNNNNNNNNNNNNNNNNNNNNNNNNNNNNNNNNNNNNNNNNNNNNNNNNNNNNNNNNNNNNNNNNNNNNNNNNNNNNNNNNNNNNNNNNNNNNNNNNNNNNNNNNNNNNNNNNNNNNNNNNNNNNNNNNNNNNNNNNNNNNNNNNNNNNNNNNNNNNNNNNNNNNNNNNNNNNNNNNNNNNNNNNNNNNNNNNNNNNNNNNNNNNNNNNNNNNNNNNNNNNNNNNNNNNNNNNNNNNNNNNNNNNNNNNNNNNNNNNNNNNNNNNNNNNNNNNNNNNNNNNNNNNNNNNNNNNNNNNNNNNNNNNNNNNNNNNNNNNNNNNNNNNNNNNNNNNNNNNNNNNNNNNNNNNNNNNNNNNNNNNNNNNNNNNNNNNNNNNNNNNNNNNNNNNNNNNNNNNNNNNNNNNNNNNNNNNNNNNNNNNNNNNNNNNNNNNNNNNNNNNNNNNNNNNNNNNNNNNNNNNNNNNNNNNNNNNNUGUGUCUCCUUUAUAUAUAUAUAUAUAUAUAUAUAUAUAUAUAUAUGUUCAGGCCUUUUCGAAAAGGUUAAUGAAACCAAAAUAUGGUUCUCUACGAAAGAAACUCAAUCAUCUAUACACAUUGGGGUCUCAUGGGUAAACCAAAAAGAAAAAAAAACUAGAAACAUAAGAUUGCUUUGCAAUUUCACAAUAUCACUAUCAACCCCUUCAAACACUCUCAUGUUUUAGUCCUUCCAAAGAAUAUGCAUGAUGCUUAUGGAGCAACAUCCCAUGCCCUAGAUCUUCUCUUUCUUCUUCUCAACAGUGUUUUGGAAAGCAAGACGUGGAAAAAAGUGAUGAGGGCUCGCUUCACCGAAGCGAAAAGCAUAAAGCGAAGCACACACUUUUUUCAAAUAAAGUGUUGUUUAGUAUAAAAAUAGGAAAAUAUUAAAUAUGCAUGGAUAAAUAACCAAGAACUCAAUAGAAAUAAUAUAUUAAGCAGGUCUUUCAAUUCUUAAAUUAAAAAGUAAAUAAUAGAUACUAGAAAUAGAAAGUCAAUAAUCCUCCUAAGUCAUACUCUCUCCGUCGCAAUUUAUGUCAGUUAGUUUGACUUGGUAUGGAGUUUAAGAAAGAAAGACUUUUGAAAUUUAUGGUCUAAGAUAAGUCAUAGAUUUUUGUGUGGCUAUAAAUCAUUUCACUAAGGGUAAAAUGGGCAUUUUGAAGUUAAAUUGUUACUAAAUAUAAUAUGCGUAAUUCUUUUUGGGACCGACUAAAAGGAAAGUAAGUCAUAUAAAUUGGGAUAGAGGGAAUAACAAAAUAAACAAAUGCAUAACCAAAUCACAAGGGGAGCAAAUUCUUAUUCUUCAACAAAACAGAGUAUUGCAGAAUGCGACUUACAGUAGCAUUGAAAAACAGUAAGUUGAAAAAGAAAACCCUAGCAGUAACCCGCAGCAGAUAAAAGAAGAAGAGAAAAAGAAGAGAUGAAAAACUUACCUUGCAAGUCGUUGAAAGAAAGUCGCAGCAGUCGCACAAAAGAGGGAAAUGUUUGGAAAGAAGUCUCUAAGUAUCUUUACAGUUUUUUUAAAAAAAACCUAGUUAAAGCUGACCUCGCUUAAGCGAGCUUUUUCUCGCUUUUACAAAUGUCACACUUCUCACUUCAGUCCCAGAAGCGCUCACUUUUUCACCAUAGCAUUGCUUCAAGGAAUAAAUCGACAGCAUGUCGCUUCGCUUCAUUUUGCACUUUAAGCGACAAAGCGUUUGCCAGUGAAUGCUGAUGGGGUGAAAAUUCAAAGGAAAAGGGUAUAGAAAUACUGAAGUAGAGAACAAAGCAAAGAGCAUGAGGCAUAACACCAAAGGUACAAAUGUGGACUACUCGAAAAGAAAGAUUCUGAACCAAUACAAAACAAUUUGGUACAAGCGGAUCACAUUCAUGUUAUUUUGCACAAAUGUUGGAAGCACCUAUGAAAUACAAGUAACAUAAAAGUUUGAGUGCUUUUUCAGGUAGAAUCAUGUUUUUUUCUGUUAUUCUAAGAUCUUGUGUGCUUUUUGUUUAUGCAGGGAUUAUUUCUCUUUCCCUUAAUAAAAAUAUGCUAAGUUGGAUGUGUGGAGACAAACACAAGAGUCUAACCUGUUUGGCCAUGAGGAUUUUUAACUUUCUUUCGGAUUUGUUUUUUUACUUUAUACGAAAAUCCGCAUUUGGCCAUGAAAAUUUCAAAUUGAAGUUGUAUUUGGAAUUUGGAAAACACCAAGAACUUUGUUUUCACUUUAACUAUAUUUUUCUUUUUCCAAUUUUACCAGAACUGAUUUUAUUUUUAUAAAAUUACCUCUUUUAAAUUAUAUUUCAUAUUUUGAGGUAAAGUACAUUCAAACAAAUAAAUAUUAUUUGCAAAAAUUAUAACCGUUUCUCUAACUUCAAAAACUUCAAAUUAAGUAAAAAAAAUUUGUAAUAGUAUGUAGUAGAUUUUAUAUGAGAUCUAAAUUAUGACAUUAUGUUCGUAUCUAUUUUGAGACAAGUUAGGUGAUUUUGUUAGUUCUUAGAAAUCAGGAGUAUAAACCAUAUUUAGAAAAAGUACAUUCAAAUUCUAAAUAUUCUUUGCAAAAGUAUGGCCAACCACAACUCCAACUCUAACUUAAAAAAAUUAAAAUAAAAUGAAAUAUUUGUUUUCAUGUCCAAACACCCACUAAAGGGUUCAAGUUGAGCACGACCAAGACAAAUUGCUAGGAAUGCAAGUUCAGUGACGUAACUCAUGAGGUUGGCGUGAAAGUGAGGCUUAAUACCCAGAUCAUCCAGAAAAAAGGAAGUUUUAAGUAUCAUAGGUCAUAAUACUAAGUAAUCAGAAGACUGACAAUGAUGUCACACACUGUAUUGGUGCAUGGUGGAUGAAAAAUAGAGGCUCGAAUCCGGAGUCUUGUGUGACAAGAAGGGGUCACCAAAACUUAAAGGCAAGUUCUACACAGUGGUGGUAGUUUCUUGUUUCUUUGAUUUUUGUUACUAUUUAUUGUUCUUUAUACUUCGAUUAUCGUAUUAUUUUGUUAUAGUUAGUGCUCCUUUUAAGCUUGCUUUGUCUUGUCGUGUUUAGUAUUUUUCCUUGGUUUCUUCACUCCUGUUAUUUUCUUGAAACGAGGGUCUAUCGAAAACAACCUCUCUUCCUCCCAAGAUAGGGGCAAGGUUCGGCGUACACACUACCUUCCCUAACCCCACUUGUGGGAUUACACUAGGUAUCUUGUUUUUGUUGUACUUUAUAAAAAUAUGAAUUUCAUUUUAUAAAAAUAUUAAAGUUGAUAAUUGGUCCAUACAUAACACUCACAAAAAUAAGACAUAACUUUAGGCGGUAUUGCGACAAGGAGACCUAUGUUACUUGGAAUCUCCAAUAAUGUUGCCUCACCUGAGUUGAAUACUUUAAAAAUACACUAUUUGAAGUAUCUGACACACACACAUUGAUAUUUUUGAAGAAUCCGAGCUACAUAGAAGGAGACUAGGUGACACAACUCAAACAAGAUUAUUUAAUACGAAAUGUUGAAAGAACUUCAAAAUAGUACGGGGAAAAAGAGAGAUACAACACUCUUUAUAGAACCACAAUAUAGUUAUAUACUGUUAUAAGUUCAUGACAUGAAAGAGAUACAAGAAAAGAAGAAGAUGAACUUACUAGUUUGCCAAUAGCUUUGUAGCAAGGUGAGACCAACCUAGCCAACAAAUUAUUCUUCAGCUCCUUGUUAGGAAGGGAACCAAGUAUCAAGGUAAUCGCGCUGACUACUUUUUCUUCAUCCUCUAGAGGCAAAUGCCUUUCAUCCAAACUCUAAAAAAAUAUGUCCAACACAAGGAACAAGAGAAACAAUAGCAAUUACACUUUAAUUAUCACUCCAAUAAAUGAUAAAACCAAACUUACAGAUCCAAGAAAUGAGAAAUAUCUAUACGAAUUAUUAAAAGGUAAACAAUUAUGUUUAUCAAAUUUUUUGUCCUAAAAUACCCCUCCAAUCACCCCAACUAUCAAGACAAAGAAAAAGUCGAUAAGGUCAUAAUAUUGAAAUGGAUAGCUAUACUUUCAACUCCUCUCACUCUCUAAAUCAACUAUCAUAUGCUUUUUUCUUUCCAAUUUUAAUUUUCAUUAAAUUUCAAUAAACUAUGAACAUGUACAAGUGCGUGACAUUUAGUCAAUAUUAUUGGAAAUUCAUUUCAAACCAAUGUCUUAAUAACUAAAAAUCCUGCAGAAAAAGGGAUUGCCAAUUGUGUCCAGAUGCAUGUUAUGUAGUGACGCUAGAGAGACAAAUAAUCAUCUGUUCCUCCAUUGUAAAGUCACAUCUCAGCUUUGGACUAUGUUCCUCAGUUUAACAGAGACAAAAUGGUCAAUGCCAGAGCACACAGCAGACUUGUUAAGUUGCUGGAUUAGGAGAGGGGGAAGCAAGACACAGAAGAAGUGGUGGAGAAUAAUCCCACACUGUAUCUGGUGGACUAUCUGGAGGGAGAGGAAUGGAAGAAACUUUGAAGAUAGAUUCAACAACAUUCAGAAAAUCAAAGAGAGCUGCAUAGCAACUUUCUACUUUUGGUGUAAAGAACAUUGUAUAGAAAAUGCUGAACAAUUAGUAGAUCUUUUAGGAUUACUGUAAUUAGUUUCUCGUUCUAGUUUGUUACUACCUUUUUGGAGGUCUCCAGCAUACCUUAAUGCUGAGGAAAACAACAUUAUCAGUUUCAAAAAAAAAAAAACUAUUUUUACCUGAAAAUUACUGCAAUACAAAAUUACUUGAACAAAGACCAAGGACCUUCAAGUAAAAAUAUUUUGAUACACCAUACAGUUUAUAGGACAAACCUCUCCAAUCCAAAGUAAGAUCUCCAAACUUGAAUGUUCAUACAUAGGGGUAGCGGCAUCUUCACAUAACUUGAGCAAAGCACUGGCACAAGCUGCUGAACAUAAGGGUUCUGAGAUGCCCGUUGCAAGAAAUAAUCUGAAAAUAACAUAUUAAGAUAUCACUACAACAUCAACAGGAAUGCUCAUGGACAAGGUACAACAAAUGCCACCCAAAAACAAGGGGAAAAAAGAGGUAUGUGGUUGAUAAUGGAAGUCUUUUUUAAUGCUUUCACCACACAAAUAGACAGAAAAACUUUGCAGAAGAAAUGGGACACGAGGACUGUCAGAGGAAGAGUACGAAGAGAAGAGGGCAAUUCAUGAUAUUAUACAAACAACUGUAGAAAAAGUAUGUCGCGAAAAAAGGAUGUAGGGAAUCAAUUUUAACCAAAUAGGAGCCAUGGAAUGAGGAAAUGGAACACGGGAGUUUUCAAAAGAGGAAGUUUGGAAGCAGGCUAGACAUAUGCUGUGGGGAUAAUUUCCCAGACCCAUUCGAUGAAGCUUUCUUCUAGCAGUGUUGGAGCAGAGUAAACAAAAAUUACAUAGUACUCACUCCAUUCAUUUUAUAUCCCUUGAAAAGUUGAUAAGAGCAACAAUAUCUUUUUGUAUUGCCAUUGUAACAAAGAAAGAAGGGGCCGUUCCAUUAGAGAAUUUGACCCGUAAGUUCUGUUGAAAAUCAACAAAAAAUAACGUAGUUUUGUAUUAUAAUGUCACCAAAGUCAUUAUGUUUCAAAAUAGUAUCCUAAUAAUUGAAUAUUGUAGAAUAUUUUAUAUGACAUUCUAGGAUACUCUAAUUAAAUGUACAAAUAUAUUUAGAUACCUUUGUAUGAGUAGAUAAUAACUGCUUACAUAUUGUAAGUAGAGAAUAACUACUUUAUCUUAAUGUACUAGAUUAAGCACAUAAGAUUCAAGAAACUCAUGUUCAGUAAUGUCAAAAUCAAGUUUUAUACAUCUCUCGUGUUCAGUCUUUUAUUUCUUUACAUGGUAUCAGAGCACUGGAUCUUUGUAGAGACUCAAAUAAAGCUAACCUACUAGCCGGCAGCCUUGCACUGCUGCAAGUCGGAUGAUUCUUUUUUCUAUUGAGCAUCUGGAACUACUACUUUUUCCCACUGCCAGCACAACUCCCGCUUCCAUAAUCCAGCAUCUCUCUCUCUCUCUCUCAAGUAGGGGUGUUCGAUUAAAAACCAAAUUGAAAAUCAAAUCAAACUAACUUUAAAUUUUUUCUUAGACAUAUUAGUGAUCCUUGCUUAUAACAUAAUAUUUAAUGACUAUUAUAGAGGAUAGAUUUAUGCUUAUUUAAAUGCUUGAUUCUAACGUGUAUGCCACUUUCUUAGCAUGUGCUGUUUUCAAUUUCACAAGACAAGUUUUAUUAAGGUCAUGUAUUUUUUUCAGACUUUGAGAUAUUGUUUUACCAACUAUUCUUAAAAGUAGGUGAAACAUAUCAUAUUUAGGUUUUGAUAUUGAGUUUUGCAUCCAUAUUGAAGAUUUCAAGAGUCAUUUGUUUAUCCUUUUUAAAUAUCAACAUUUGGUUAGGCUUAAAAUUAUAUAACUGUAAGAUAUAUUAAUGGAGGGGAACAAUUAUCAUAUAUUACAAAGAGAAUUUCUCACAUUAGAAUAUUUUAGUAGAUCACAAAACUGGCUUGAUUCAUGGAAAAGUUUAUUCACGACUUAAUAGAUUGAAUGGGUUGAAUUUGUAUAGCAUGUCCACUGAAAAGAAAAUAAUCAAAAAAGACCAAACCAGUAAAAAACCAAAAAAUAGUUGGUUUGGGUUUAGUUUCGAUGAAAACCAAACCAUGAACACCCCAACACUUAGGCUACCAACAUUGUUCCUAUCUAAAAGCCGAUACCGCUCCUCUCUCAAUUAUUGACACUAAUAUUUCUCUCCGACAAUCGAUGCCACUCCUCUCUGUAGUGAUCCAUCACUUUUCUCGGAAAAAGAAAGUAAGGGUGAUGCAAGAUUAUUGGGGGUAAGAGGGAGGAUAUUGCAUGAUCACACAAAUACAACGAGGGAAAGUAGAUCAAGAGGCCUAGUGCAUCUACCUAAUAUAUGUGUACCAUGCUUGUGCCACUGUCAAUGAACUAUACCGCUAUCCCAAAUAAGUUGGGAUCGGACAUAUGAACCCUCUAUAUUCAUUGACCUCUAUUUACGUACAUAGAGACAUCAGGGAGGCAGUAGAAGGUUGGAGUGAGUGGAAAGUUGACAAAGCCAACAGGAAAAUCUAGAAGAUCCCAGCAAGUAUAUUUUGGUGCCUUUGGCAAGAAAGGAAUCACAAAUGUUUUGAUGCCAUAUCAACUCCAAGCCACUCUUUGGAAGCUAAAGGCCUUUUGUAUCUUUUUAGUUAGAACACUCAUUCCCUUGUAAAUGAUGUUGUCUCCCUCCUAGAUUUCAUCAGUUCACUCACUCCAGUUUAACCCAUAUACCUUUUGUUAGUUUGUUAGCUUCCUGGGCUGAGUUCUGUAACAAUGUAUUGGAGCCAACAUUUACUUGUUUUUGUAACUAUGAAUCUUCAUGAAGCCAACAAUAAAAACACCUUAUUUCAUCCAAAAAAAAAAAGAAGGCGAAGGUACAUUUCAUCCUAAAAACUAUAUCAUUUGCCUUCUACGGCGAAUAAGGGAUUCAUCAGAUCUCACACUUAACCUUGGACACUAUUUCUUUGUUUCUAUUGUUUCUAUUGUGUUCUAUCUUCAGCUACGUAUGCAUUGAUUCUAAGAAAUUUUAACUCUUUUGAAAUAACUUUCCUCCAUACGUUUCAGGUCUGCCUCAUCCUCUACUAUUGCAUAAUUGGUUAUUAUUACAUUGGUCAUCAACCAAUUGUUGUGGCAGAAAAAUCACAUAGGUUAUGGAGGAAUUUUUCUGCGGAUAUGACUAAGGAGGUGAAAAGGCAUCAUCAGCUAAAUUGGAAGACAAUCACAUUUGGUAUUGUUAGAAUAGAAAUAGGAACAAGAAUAGUAUAUAGAAUCCUACUUGGAAAAAGAUUAGUAUAUAGAAUCCUACUUGAAAAAAGAUUGUAUUAUGGUGUCUAUAAAUAGGAUUUCAAUGUAAUAACGUAGAUACACAAUUCAAUAAUUUUCUUCUCCAAUAUUUCUCUCACAAGGUAUCAGAGCUUCUACGAUCCUGGUAGAGAAUCAAAGAGCUUCCACUCCGAGGGACGGCUAUGACCCAUAUAUAUCGCCUGCCUGACCAAUGGCCAAAGAUAUAUGCAUGAACCCUACAUUCAGGAGAAGAAAACUCAGUCGGACAGGUCACCGUGUGACAAUUUCCGGUGACUUUCUAGACUGUUUGGUGUCAACCCCAUAUUUAUUAGUGUUUGUGUAGAGCAUCGUGCAUCAUUCCGAUGACUACUUUCUCAUAUCGAAUUUGCGUAGCACCGUGCAUCUUUCUGGUGACUACAUGCCUAUAUCUGAUUUCUGUAGCACUGUGCAUCAUUCUAGUGACUUUUUUCUCAUAUCUCAUUUGUGUAGCACCAUUCACCAUUCUGGUGACUACUUUCUCAUAUUGAAUUUGCGUAGCACCAUGCAUUUUUUCGAUGACUACUUUCUCAUAUCUGAUUUGUGUAGCACCGUGCAUCUUUUUAGACUGCUUUCUCAUAUCUGAGUUGUGUGGCACCGUGCAUCUUUUUGGACUGCUUUCUCAUAUCUAAGUUGUGAAACACCGUAUGUCUUUUUAUGUAAGACCUCGGAAUCUAGUAGUCUAAGCUAGGGGCUAAGUGUCAAAUCACUAGACAAAGAUUUGAGCCUAAGCACCCUUCACGAGGACCCAUACGGGCCGUGAAGGGCACCACGAGUCGUGGUGGCUCACAGUAGCUAACCAAAGAAGCCUCACCUCCCACGACCACCAUGACGGCUCGUGGUGGGGACCACGGGUCGUGGUGAUGUUCCUAAAAGGCUAGGCAGUAAGUAUGCUUAGGUAGCCUUCUCCCACGAGCCACUUGAUGGCUCGUGAAGGCCUUGACGGCUCGUGGAGGUGGGCGUGUGGGGAAGAUGAGUUUAAGGGUGGCAACCCAAGCCACUAGUUUAGGACCACGGCUUGUGAAAAGCCUCUCGUGAAGGUGGGUCGGAAGCUUUUAGUUAAGGGGCAUAUGGGUCUUCUUCAUAUUUAAUUAAAUCAAAGCCAUGUCGUUUUACCCAUGCCUAGGACCCCUGUAUAAGUGAUUUUAACCCCAAAACUCACUUAUUCAAGUCAUUCUCUUAAAAUCACCAAAAGAAUUGGGUUCUUCCUCUCCAAAAUAUUUCUCUCUCUAGAACUUGAAGAAGAAGAAAGGGUUGAAGCUAAGGUCAAGGUCAAGUCUCCAUUCCUUAAGCAUUUGUGGGCUUUGAUAGCAAGGUAUGAUAGUUUUUCAUCCAUGGAGCCCCUAAGUUCUCCCAAUUAAAAAGUAGAAAUUCCCCAAUUUGAGUUAGGGUUUUCUUCUAAGUAAUGGGUCUUUGUGAAUGUUGAUUCAAUUGAUGGAAUUAGGAUUGUUUAUGCAUGAAUUGAGAGGAUUACAUGCUUUUAUGAUGAAUUUCCAUGUACCCAUGCCUAACCCAUGAUUCUAAGUAGAAGUUGAUGUAGAUGGGUUUUAUGCCAUAAAAGGAGAAAUUAUGGGUUUAGAUGUAUUCUUAUAGGAUUGAUAAGAUACAUUAGAAUUGCUUUGAGAUUGAAGCAUAUAUGAUGAUUUAUGAUUAGAAUUGCUUGAUAUUGAAGCAUAUAUGAUGAUUUAUGAUAUGAAGGGCUUUGAGAGUGACGCUUAUGCAUUAAUUGUGAAUUGUUGAUGUGAUUGAUUGUGGAAGGGAAUUUCCCACAUGAUUUCUUCUAUGUAUGUAUGAAUGUGAAAGGCCUUCUCACAUUGAAUGAUUCUAGGUUGAAAGGAUUGUUCACCUAAAAUGAAUCUAAGUUAAGAAGGCUAUAAAAUUGAUGAGGCAAAGAGGUGAUUACCCUUGAUCUCCAUAUGAGAAGGAUAAGGGGGCGAUUACCCAUAUUCCCUAAAGUAGGAUGAGGGGCGAUUACCCAUAUUCCUUAGAAUAGAAUAAGAGGCAACUACCCUUAUUCCUUGAAGUUGAACAAGAGGCGACUACCCACGUUCCUAUGAUGUAAAAGACAAGAGGCAAGUUCCCAUGUCACAUGAAUGUUGGACUAGAGGCGAAUACCCAUGAUCCUAAAUAAAGGGACUACAAGCGACUACCCACGAUCCCAAAGUAAGAAGGAUAAGAGGCGACUACCCAUGAUCCUUUGUAGCAAGGCAAGAGGCGAGUACCCAUGAGCCUUUAUAGUUAGGCAAAGAGGCGAAUCCCCAUGUCUUUAAAAGUAAGCAAGAAUAAUAUGUGAAAUGCUAAGAUGAAUAAUUAGCUUGGAUUGAUGCUUGAGUUGUCUUCCAUGAUAUAUAAGACUAGAGGCAGAUUACCGAAGACUUGAUGAAGGAUAAGUUGAGGUUACUUCAAGAAGUACUCCUCCUAUGUUAUGAUGAUCUAUUAUGUGCAUUGAUUAUGUUUUAUGACUUAUGUUGUCUAAUGCUUAUGUUUAUGUUGUUUAUGCAAGCUAUCAUAUUUAGUACAUGUUUGUACUAACGCAUACUCUUGCGUACAUUUCUUAUCCAAAUGUAGGGUCUGACGAUCUCGACUCUCAUCCCUGUGGCUAGGAUUUAUAGUAGAGGCAAGGUUGAAUAUUGGUGAGUCCUCAUAGCAUUCGAGGAUUUGGCCACUAUUUCUCUUAUGUUCUUUUAUUUUAGUUUGUGAACAUUGUUGUAUGGGAUGUGUCCCAAGAAUCGAUUGCAUUAGAUGGUUUUUAAGACAAGUGUAUUAGACUUCCGCUUUUGAAAUGCAAACUUUGAUUGUGUUGAAAUGUUUUAAAAAUCCCGUCUAUUUCUAUUAUCUUGACUAUGAAAGCUAAGCGGCUUGUAUGAGGCCUCUCGGGGUCUUGUAUGCCAUGUUACAUCUAGGGGCACCCCUGGGUCGUGACAUUUUAGUGACUCUUGAGAUUUGAUUUACGUUGUUCCAUGCGUCAUUUGGAUGACUCCUCAUAUCUGACUUACAUAGUUUCACUUUUUGUUAGUAGUGCGAAAACCAACACCGCCAAGAGGUACACUGUCUCCGUGCAACCAAACCGCAAGCAAUGUCAUUUUGAAUCAACCUCCCUCGCAGAUCCCUUAUGCGCGACUAGAUCUAGGGUUCCAGUGACAAUGUCAGUACCACACACGGAUGCGUGAACAUGUCCGAACAGUAUUUUGGCAACUUUGUUGUUCCAAUUCGACUUGUCUCUUGAUUCUAACAUGAUCCAUAUAUUUUAUACCAAAUUUUGAGCACUUUUUGGCGACCAUGCACUAUGAAGACAUAAGGACCAUCUGAGCAAUCACCUAGUUUUGUUGCUCAGGGGAAGUUUAGUAGCCUUGUAUGCCAAUUGUGUAGGUCACUUUGUGGUCUGAAACAAUCUUCUCGAGCUUGAUUUGAGAGGUUCAACACAGUAAUUCAGAAGUUUGGCAUGACUCAUGUAGGAACUGAUCAUUCUUUGUUUUAUCGGCAUUCUGCAUCAAAUCAAUAUUUCAUGAGAGGACUAUACACAAUUUGAUAAUAUUCUUCUCCAAUAUCUCUCACAUGUAUGAAUAUGGGAUGCUUAAGGUUUAAAGCAUUAUGAGUUUCUAAUGAGGUAGUACUACAAAGUGCAUUUGGAGAACUAAACACGUGGGAAGAGUCAUAGCAAGCUACUAUCUAUCUAUCUAUCUAUACUACCUUAAAACAUGAACUCCCAUACCCCAACUAAAAGCAUCCAAUUUAGUAUAUCUUCUAUACUUUAUGUUUAUAUUUAUUUAUAUUAUAUUCAAAGCAAACAACUUUCCACAUUGAAGGGUUGUGACUUUUUUGAUGAGUUGUGACUCUUGCAAAGCAUUGCUACUUCUCUAAGAAAAUACAAUAAGCACAUGUUCAUACUAUCCUUUGCUAGCUAUAAAUAAAGGGGUUUCCUCUCAUUACUAAACAUACUACCUUAUAAGCAAGAACUUUCUAAUUUGAAUGUUAAAUUACUAUAAUAUCCCAACUAAAAACACCCCAUAACUUGAAUGUUAAAUUAUUAUAAUACCCAAUUUAGUAUAUCUUUGAUAUUUUAUAUUUAUAUUUAUUUAUAUUACAUUAAAAGCAGACACUUUUUUACACUUCUAAAGGGUUGUGACUUUUCUAAUAAGGCCCCAUACACACUAAUUCAUACUACCAUUUGUUGGCUAUAAAUAGAAAGGUUUCCUUUCAUUUUCAAACAAUCAAUUUUCUAAGUUUUCUACUCUUCUUAUACAACUCAAUUGCGAUUUGCAGUUGCUAAGUUAUUUCAAAGCUCAGUGGAAUUAAAGGUGUCAUUAUUUCGCUGAAGUAAAUCACUCUAUCAUCCUGGGAGGACAUAUUCCAUAACCUCGGGUACUUGAGGGGAAUAAUUUCCUUUAAGGACACAUCGUGAAUUCAGUGAACUUGAGUUUUCAUUCUAUCAUCUUGGUUUAUUAUUAUUACUUUUGAGUACUAUUCAUGUUUUAUUGAAUACAUAUUUAGCAAGUAACAAAAUAAAAUGUAAUCACAAAAUAAUAAAAAGUAAUUUUAUUCAUCAAUAUUGUGAAUAUAACUCUGUUCAUUCCUUAAUUAUUCUCUGUAAAUUUUAUCCGUUAUUUGAGGACCAUUAAUAGCAUAUUUCUCAAAUGUAGGUUGAUUUGGACAAGAUAUAUUUGAUCACGGGGUAAAUUUUGAGAAAGAUUGUAUUUGAUGUCUUGAUCUCUUUCUGAAUAUCCAAGGAUCAAAUUAUGGGAUAUUUGAGAUGUCAUCUUCAAGAGAAUAGGUGUCCCUUUUUAUAGGCUUGAGCAAGAUUUAAGGUAGAAUAACCUCCAAGAUUUUUAUUUUUCUACUUUUUUAGAAUUGAUUUUUCUUUUUGAAAUUGCUAAGACGGCUUGAUAUAUUUUUAUUUUUCUACUUAACCAUCUCAAGUUUAAUCAAAAUGAGUAUCAAAGUAGAACUACCAAAACAAUGUAUAUUUUUUCACAUAUAGUAAAAGUUUACUUAUGAUAAUAUUAUUGCAUUAGAAGUCAUGAUCCACAAAAUUUAUAACACUUUAAAAUUUGUUGCUUCCAAAUUCAAAGUUAGUGUACAAUUUAUAAUGGCUCCUUGAUAGUUUAAUUGCUCCAUGAAAAAAUUCUUGUUAUUUGCUUAAGUAAUAAUGUAUUUUGUAAUUGUAAAUUGAUACGGAUACACAUUGCUACCCCCUUAAAAAAAAAGAACCGAAUGAUACAUGAUUUUGAAAGCUUGUGUUUGUUCAUGAUAAAUUUGAAUGUGCAUCAAAAAAAAUUUGCAGGGGACCUUUGUGAGGGACUUUCACAAAUUAUUUUUCAAUUAUUCUUUGUAUUGUGAAGGAACAUUUUGACGUCACGUGACUGUUGAUUUGUCUUAGAUAUAUCACAUAUACAUAAUUUGAUAUGCACGUGCAACACAUGUAUCGAGAAACUAGUAAGAAUAAAUGUGUGAAAAUUCGAGGGAGGAUGUGGACCAUCCAUUAUUGCACUCAGCCCCGACAUUGGCUGAACCUUCUUAGAAUCAUUGGACAACUAUUAAGCUGGAAAUUUAGGAGAAAAAAGAGAAGUGUAGGGAGUGGCACGUUGAUGUGACUACCAGGAAAGAACGGAAUUGAAGAGCUUUUCAAGGGGUUGAAAACCUUUGUACGUAUUACACAAAAUCUUGCUCUUCUUUUUAAGCUGUAAACUUGCUAAGCACCUAAGAGAUCCCAAUUAGUACAAAUGACUUGGUGCAUUUUGCAGAGAUUUGUGUGAAACAAUUCCGAAGAGGUUUAAAAAAAAAGCAAUGCAGAAUCAAGUUGGUUUAAAUAAAACAAAACUCCAGAAAGAACAGCCACCAGCAAUUUUUUCGAGAGAGAAAAGUGCAAUCUCCAAAAAGCUAAUUAAAACCCACAAGAUCUCGUUAUAGAACCCUACCAAAAACUAUAGCUGAAGUUUUAAAAUUACCUUGACCAUUAAGGCAUAACACAUAGAUAGACACCUUAACUCAUUAUAGAACCCUACCAAAAAAUAUAGCUGAAGUUUUUAAGUUACCCUGACUAUUAAUUUUAAGGCAUAACACAUAGAUAGGCACCUUAACUUGGCCUUAACUGGCAAGUAAACACCCUAACUUUGAGAAUGUACAUCUACACACCUCAACUUGGUUUAAGUUGGCUCCAUAACAAGGCAUUGCACGCGUGUUUAUGGGGGCCAACUUAAACCAAGUUGAGGUGUCUAGAUGUGCAUUCUCAAAGUUGGGGUGUUUACUUGACAGUUGAGGCCAAAUUGAGACCAAGUUAAGGUGUCUAUCUAUGCAGUAGAGCAAUACAAAAAGGUUUGAAACCAACGCCUACAGCUUAAAAAAUACAUCAGAAACUAAAACAAAGCCUAAACUGAUAAGACAUGACCUGCUUCAGCACUGUAUUUUUGGUUUCUAUUUUAUUUUACAGAAUAUGGAAAGAGAAUUCUUACAGCAAAGAUCUGGCAUUAGUUUGACAAGACGAUAUCCACUUCGAAUAGGAAGCAACAACCUCUGCAGCUGAUUUAUAUACCUGGAACAUCAACAAAAGAAACGGAACAUAAUUAAAGAGAGGAGGAGGUCAAUCAAAAAGUACUACACUUUGUCAUAACUCAAACCUAAUGAAGCAAAUAGUUAGUCCAGAAUCACUGUCUACAAAAUUUUCAGUAUGUUUCUCUUUCUUCCAAACAACUUCAUCUAUUCUAGCAUCCCCCUUUGGCAACGAGGAUAAGAGAAACAAGAAAAAUCGAGUAAGAUAACACAUACAAGUUUCAUGAAGCCCUUAGCAUCAUCCUGUGGCGUACUAGAUAAAAUUGUGACCAACUGAAUAACAAAUGAGAAAUCAAUGUCAUGGGUCUCCGUGAUAAUACCUUCAGCUAUCUGAAAAAGAAAGGAAAUCACACAGUGAACUUCCUAGCAUGAUCAAGUUCGUGUCCUUUUCAUAAAUGAAAACUGAAAAGUGAUCAUUAAAAGAAAAACAACAUGAUUUGAGCAUGCAAAUCACAAGUGAAGCCAAUGAAGAGCGCAGAAAGCAUGACACACUAAUGUCAAAUUACCUGUUCUUUUAUAAUCAAAUCAUGCAGCACACAAAGGAUUGCUGAAAACAGCUAGACCUCGAAAAAAGAAAAAGAUCUCUACAGAAAAUACAAGUACAUGAUCACAAACUACAGCUGAAAAUCAUGCAUGUACUCCAACAGAACAAAAGAAUGUAAAGAAGAAUUUGCUUAGAGAUAUCUCAAGGAAGCAUUGUGAUCACAAAAGAGCGUACAAAGGAAGGAAUGACUUCAAUCACUUACUAUUACAUCGUAAGAUUGUUGAUGCCAGGGAAUUUAAUGGCUGGCAGCCUGGCGCAGACAAAGAUCUGAUGCGGGGCAGGAGAGAAGAGAGUUGGGCAGUAGCAUCUCAAGAAAAUACUGAUUGUAUGGAUUUGUAUCUCUAAUUAGUUAGAAACAUUUUGCGAAAAAAAUUAUAAAUAUAUAUUUUAUUUAUUUUCAUGACGGUGGUGUCCUAGCCAGCUUGCGCACACCUGGCGUGCUUUGUAUUAGUUUCACAAAAUGAAAGAAAGUAUAAAUAACAUUGUGAAGUGAUUCCUACUAUGGCAAAGUACUGAACACAAAAUAGUUUCAAAAAUAAGAAAAAAGGUUUGUUAAGUAUCUUUGGGAAUUGAAGUCACAAGGCUCAAGAAGCUUACCUUCUCAUUUAAGAGGAAUAAUGACCCGAAUUUAUUGGUUGAAAUAGAAAAAUCAGGGGAUAGCCUUGCAGUGCACUUGUGACAACCAACUUACAACUUAUGGCAGAGGGAGUUCAUUGUUUAAAGAUCUUGAGAUGCACAGAUGAUGAGCUGGGAAGUUAAAACCAUCUUACAGAAUGUGACUUGACACUGCUUACUAGGGCAGUGUGAUCUGAAUAUUCAUGUCUACUCCAACUAGUAAUUAUUAGGAGACUUUGGGCCAAAUCGUGUGUCACUUCGAAGGAACACCUGCCGCAGUCUGUUAUAUAGAAACCACUUGGGUGUUGUUCUAGAUGCAAAUCGGAGGGGAUCUAAAGUUUUCCGGGGAACAAGAGGAUACAGAUCUUGUUGGAUAUAAUUCGGUGUAGUAUAGAAAGUAAGAAUUAGUGGUAGUCCCCUGAUCUAGUGUUGAAUCAAAGUAAUGAGCUAUGUCAUAAUCCAUUUGCAAGGUAAUGUAGACAUGCAGUUGACAGAUGAGGUUAGUCUUAAGACAACUCAACCUGCUAAGUUGUAGUGUGAUAAUCGUGAUGCUCUCUAUAUUGCUUCUAAUUUGGACCUUCACAAGGUAGGAGUAAGGCUGCAUACACACCACCCUCCCCAGACCCCACUUGUGGGAUUUCACUAGGUACGUUGUUGGUGUUUACGAAAAGAUAUAACAGAAGAUUAUCUUGAUGAGACAUAUCAUGACAGGAGAACAGUUAGGUGAUGUCUUCACAAAAGUCCUGCAUGGAGCUCUAGUUAACUAUGUGUAUAACAAGUUGGACAUGAUUAACAUCUAAGAUCCAACCUAACACUGUAGUGAAAAGCCAAUCAAUAUGUAUUUUGUAGUGCUGAUAUAGUUAGCAUAAUUGUAGGUACUUGUAUUGCUGGAGAGAUUCCAGGGACUUGUCUCUUAUUAGUUAAGAGAGAUAUUAGGAAGAGGCUUAUACAUAAUCUUCCAUUCUACCAAAUGUGUGAAAUAUAAUCACCUUUAAUGGCAUAUUCUAUAAACUAGAUGUCAAUAUGUGUUUACACAAACUGACAUGAUCAUGACAACUAGUGCAUGUACAGAAGAUACAUAGGUAUAGCACAAUUGGAGAUGACAGAUAGAAUGACAUGGAGGUACUAAGGGAUAUCACAUUUUCUGUACAGAUGUAUUAUGUAGGUCUAGCAGGAGGAAACAAAAUGUCAGGUGAAAGACAAUAUGGAAGUUUGAAGCUCAAUUUUACUGUUAACAGCUUUAAGGACAUUUCCAUCAUUUUAACAGAAAAGUGCUUAUCAACACCUUUUACCAAACAUAUCAACAACUUAUUUUUCAGUUUUAGCACUUCUAUUCAAACACGUAAUUGCUUAUUCAUAGAUUCAGCCGAAACACUUAGAAGUGUUUUUCAACACUUGGUGCUAAAAAACUACUUAAAUUAAGCUAAAUCAAAUGAGCUCUAAGUAAAUAAUCCUCUCUCUAAAAACUUGAGCUUUUAGUGGUCAUACAAUUCAACAUAAAAAGAAGUUUUUAUUUUGUGAUCGUUUAUUGUAUAGAUAGAUAGGUAGCUUACAUAAAUGAUAAAUAAUAUAAAUGUUUUGGCACCAUUUGGUGAUUUAGUAAAACAACUUCGAAUUUAUAAAAAAAAUACAUUUGGACAUUUACUUGGGGGUUUAUUUUUUUUGAUAACCGAGAAAUCCAUCUGCGACCCGCCCUUUGGACCAAUCACAGCCUUCUAAACUCGGUGGAUAAUGGGCCCGCCCCUCUACCCUUCUCCACUUAAAUACCGGGCUUCGCUUUGCAUGGUGUGGGACUUGAACCUGCGACCUAAUCCACAAAUCCUCCACCUUUUGCCACUCGAGCUAGGCCUUGGGGGCACAUUUACUUGGGGGUAUAUUAAGGGAAAAAGGCAAACACCUAACCUAAGAUGAAGUUAAUGUUUUGACAGAGAUUUCAGUGAGUGGGAUUUAUUGUCAAAAAUGUCAUAGCAAAGAUCAUGACCAUUAAUCUGUCAAACAAUUUGAGGAUAACUAAAUAAAAAUGUCACCAGGUAUAAUUCAACUUCUAAUUAUCACGUAGUUCAGCUUUGGACUAUAAGAACUUGGAUUCUAAGAACAUGAUUUUAGCAUUUCCAAACACAUAAAAUAAGCGAUUCAUAAUUUCAAUUAACGACAGUUUUGAGGAUACGAGCUUUAUAACCAGACAUAAGUGGGAUCUGCUUUCACCUAUGGCAUAGAUGCAGUUAAAAGUAGGUGUUAACUACAACGAUUGAGACUUUGCUUCUCACAAAGCUGCAUGAGUUCAUACAGCAGCUAAAAUAGUGUCAAUGCUCUAUGCUUUUAAGUACUAACGUUCUCACUGUUCUGAUACACUUCUACCUUACAAUGCUACACAUACCAAUAACAGGAGUAUAGACAAUCAUCCAGCAGGUAUUGUCUUAUUAGAAUCAUGCUUCCAACUCUACCAAGCAAUUGAUGGCUUAAACUAUCCAAGGUUGAUUGCUGCAGUGACAGUUACAAAUGUAAAAUAUACUGUUGUUCCUGCGAUUUCCAGAAGAAUUCAUGGUUUAUUUUCUCUUCUAUUUGUCCUUUAUGCUUUUUCUUCUCAUUUUCUGCUUCAGAUUCUGACCUUGUCCCAAUGCUAAUUAGCAAAACCCACAAAGAAUUGAGUAUAAUAAAAGCAUUAAGUAGGAGAUGAGAGCAAAACAAUGCAUAUGUUACUGUCAAGGUUUUGGUUCACAGUACUAACCGCAUUAAGUGCAAACAUUUUAGCUUCCACCUCCUUCCAAGGAAUAUGUACAUUGUUACUGGUCCAACCUCCAAGGAAGAUCUGGUAUAAAAAUAAAAAAGCAAAAGUCAUUUCACUAAUAGAAGAAAGAUAAUAAAGUUGCUAACUUGAAAAUAAGUUCCAGAGGUAUUUGAAAGCCUGUCAAAAGGUGAAAAGAAAAAUAAUUGUAAAGGGAAACAACCAAAUAAGAUCAUUAUUUAGCAGUAAAUGCAAAUAUGACAAGGAGAUACUGGGUAGAAAACUAGAUACGGAUAAUUCUUGCAUAUUUCUGUUGAAGUUAAAGAUGAGAGGGUAAAAUGGAUGGUGCCAGGUAUUGAUAGGAUGAGAAGGAAGAGAAGUGACAUACUUGAGCAACCCAGAAAAUACAAAGUGCCAAACAAAACAAAAACAAGUCCAAUAAAAAAAAAACGUUGUUUCUCGGGUUAGGUUCAAAUUACAGUCAGCUUAUAUAUUUCUGGAAUUAUCUGGUCUAGUUUUUUGAGUCAAGAAUGGAAACUAUGGAAAAACUUGUGCAGGAAUUUCCAGGAUUAUACUAUGGCUGCUACUCAAAAGAAUUUGUGAAAUCAGAAACUACUAUUUACCAACUUGAACAAAGAUAAAUAGUCAAUAGAACAAUCUCAAACAAGGUGAACACUCAAGAGGAUAAGAACAAUUUAAUGCAGCUGGAACUAGAGAUCCAGAAGUUAGCUAAGGAUGAAGAAACUUCUUGGUGACAAAAAUCAAGGUGCUUGUGGCUGAAAGAAGGGAAUAGAAGCACUAAAUAUUUCAAAAAAAUGGUCAAUUCUCACAGAGGGUACAAUUACAUUGAUAAGUUGCAAAUGGGGAAUGUAAUCAUUGAAGACAAAGAGUAGGUGAAAGAGGUGGUUUUUGAUUUCUAUCAAGAUUUGUACACUGAAAAUGAGAACUGGAGGCCUUCUGCAACUUUUGAUGGUUUGGGAAGCUGGAAUGCUAAAGAGAACGAGACCUUUGAACCUAAUAUGCUUGGACUCGGGUGCAGGUAACCGACGCAGAUGUGAAUCCAAGGGGUGAAUCUGGCAAAAUCUAAAUUUUUAGAUUUGGGGCUACGAUUCCAAGUAUGGAUACGGGUGUUGGAAUUCGGCUAAAGAAAUCCAAAAUUAUAAAAUUGAGCUAUAACGUUAUUCUAAAUUUUGAAAGAUCUUCUAGGUCGUCAUUCCCAAGGCCCUCAACUUUUUCUUUCACGCUCUCUGGUUGUUCCCCUCAAAAAAGAAAAAGAAAGUCAUUCAAGGCUUUCCACCAACUCUCCUUACAGAUCGUUGCUACUGUCUACCAAAAGUCAAAACACAACCGCUUGAAUUCUUAGUUUCUCUUCGUUUAGCUUGAAACAUGAAACAACGAAUAUUGACCAAAAGGAAAAGCUAAAAAAAAAAACGACGAAGGGACUAUAAUAUUUAAGGUAUGCCUUUUCUCAUGUCUUAAAUCUAUAUUAUCUUUUAUCAAAAUCUCAAUUUUCCCCAAAAUUUGUCCAUGUACUCUAGUCAAAGUAUCCAAAGUGGGUUAACAGAAUCCCACACGUACUCCGCACCCGUCUCUUGUCGACACGGGUGCGGCAGCGAAAAUGAAGAGUCCAUGCAACUUAGCCUUGAAGAUGCUUUUAAUGAGGAGGAAAUCUUGAAUGCUAUUAAUUCUUGUGCCCCUGAUAAAAGCCCCAGUCCUAAUGGAUUCUCAAAGACUUCUUAUCAAAGAUGUUGGGGGAUUACCAAAAGGGAUGUUAUGGGAAGCCUCAAACAAAAAAAAAUAACCAAAAAAAAAAGAAAAAAAAAAAAAAACGACGAAGGGACUAUAAUAUUUAAGGUAUGCCUUUUCUCAUGUCUUAAAUCUAUAUUAUCUUUUAUCAAAAUCUCAAUUUUCCCCAAAAUUUGUCCAUGUACUCUAGUCAAAGUAUCCAAAGUGGGUUAACAGAAUCCCACACGUACUCCGCACCCGUCUCUUGUCGACACGGGUGCGGCAGCGAAAAUGAAGAGUCCAUGCAACUUAGCCUUGAAGAUGCUUUUAAUGAGGAGGAAAUCUUGAAUGCUAUUAAUUCUUGUGCCCCUGAUAAAAGCCCCAGUCCUAAUGGAUUCUCAAAGACUUCUUAUCAAAGAUGUUGGGGGAUUACCAAAAGGGAUGUUAUGGGAAGCCUCAGUCACUUUCACAGAAAUUGUCACAUGGUAAAGUCUUUCAAUACUUAUUGUAUUGCACUUAUUCCCAAAAGAGAAGGUGCAAUUGAACUCAAAGACUUAGACUUAUUAGUCUCAUUAGUCAUUGGUAGUGUUUACAAGUUAUUUUUUUGGUGAAGUAAUUAAAUUGUAUUAGAAAGGCAUCAAGGAGAUGCAAUGGUUACAACUAAAACUAAAGUUGUGCAAGAACCUGUAAAGCAGCCAAAAAUAUAAACCCCCUUAAACCCUACUGUGCUAGACUUAGGGAGCUACCAAAAUCCAGAAAAUUAUCCAUACUGUUAAUAGGGGAGAGAAGGUGUCAAAUAUAAAGACUAACUAAACAUCUAGUCUUAAUGGUGCUCAUGGGAAUUGAUAUUCCAUCAAAGAAUCUACAGUUUCUCUCUUUCCAAAUGCCCAAAAAAUUACUGUUGGGAUCAUCCUCCAGGUACUUUUGAUAGUGUUGUCAACUUUCCGACAUAUCCAGCUAGCAUAAGCAUCUUUGAUGGAGAGGGGCAUAACCCAUUGGAGGGCCAAACAAUGAGAAGAAGAAAUGCCAUAUGCCAACUAUUAUGGAGCAGUGCAAAAAAAGAUGAUUGACACUUUCAUUAUUUUGUUUACAGAAAAGACAUCUAUUGAUGAGCAUGAUGCCAUUUUUCCUAAGGUUGUCUUGUGUUAGACAUGCCUUACGAAGGGCUGUCCAUGCAAAACAGGAAACCUUAAGAGGUUGUUUGGUCCUCCAAAUAUGCUUCCAGGGAAAGUCUUCAAGUAUGUCAUUCUGGGCACACCAGUAGUUUAGCUUUUCUUCAUAGUGUAGAUCCGUUCCUUGGAGCUGCCCCAAAGUAGUCUAUCUGGAUUGAGAACAUCAGUUUCAUUUUUCCAGUGUUUGUAACAGGAGAAGAAAUUCAUUAUUUUCCCAAUCCUGCAGAUACCUUCUGAAAAUUAGACUCCAAAUAUUGUCAACUUUGUAUCGGCCAUUGUGGAAAGAACUCCUACAAAACAGUGCCCCCAAUCCACUAGCCUAACCAGAAUCUUAUGUUGAGUCCAUUGUCAGGUUUGAAGUAAACGUUCUGAAGAAACUCAUCCUGGAAAGUACUUGUGUGUUUCCAGACCCCUACACCAUGAGGAUCUUUGCUCAUCUUUGGGAUCCAGUGAUCAUGAGUUCCAUAUUUUGCUUCGAUGAUGUCCUUCCAAUACCCUGCCUCAUUCUGCCCAUAUUUCUAAAGCCACUUCAUAAGCAGGCAUUUGUUAUGCAUCUUUAGGUCUCUAAUUCCCAACCCCCCUUGGGCCUUGGGUAGAAUAACAUUUUGCCAUUUCACCAGAGAGAACUUAUGAGUUUAGUUGUUACCUUCCCACAAGAAUCUUCUCCUUAGUCUUAUCCUUCUAUAUCCCCAAGUAAAGCUCUUCGCAUCGCAAUGCCUAUUGUGUUAGCUUGUCCUUUCAUAAGUGGAGACUAAAUAAAGCAUCCAUAAUAAAGGUGUUUACUGUCUGUUCUUGAUUCAGCACACGUCCUAGACGACGUUUUUCUUCCUGGGCUGCAGUAAGUAGAUCGAUCUCAGAAAUAAAAAAGAAUCUUCUCCUUAGUUUGUCUUCCUGCUUCAACUCUACGGGAGGCAGACUCAGAGCCUGUUUGGAUUGGCUUAAAAGUUGGUCAAACCUACUUUUAAGUCAUAUUUAGCUUUUGGGAAUGUUUUGCAAAGCUAAAAUAACUUGAAAUAAGUUAAAAAUAACUUUAAAAGUUAAAAACCAAAAGUAGGACUCCCCCUAUUUUUUAUUUUUUGACUUAAAAGUCAUUUAAAGUUUGAAUUUUUAUUUUUUUGACUUAAAAGCUACUUUUUUCAGCUUGUCCAAACGGGAUCUCAAUCUAAUCAAUAGUGUUCUGGACAACAUUCCUACCAACUAUAUGCCUUUAUUUCCUUCGUCUCGGGUUAACUAUGAGAUCAAAUAAGGUAAUUGGGAGACUGGUCUCGGGUUACAAAAAUGUCGUUAUUAAAGGCAGGAAAAUCACUAAUGCAACCCUCAUAGCUAAUCAAGUGUUAGUUGGUGUCAAAAAGUGGUGAUCCAGGCCUCCUCUUCAAGCUUGACAUUGAAAAGGCUUUUGACAAACUCAACUGGCAUUACCUUAUCUCAAUCCUAAGGCAAAUGGGAUUUGGGGAAAGGUGGAUCAAAUAGAUAAUGUUCAACUUCUCCACGGUGAAAUAUUCUAGACUUGUUAACAGAACUCAUGUGGGAUUUUUCUCCCCAAUGAGGGGAAUUAGGCAAGGGCUCCCUUAUCUCCCUUCCUUUUCAUAUUGGCAACGGAGGGUCUUAGCAGAAUAUUGGAAAGGGCCAGACAAAUGCAAUGGUAAAAAGGUUUUGAUGUUGACAGAGACCCAGGCAGUUCAGUCUCCAUCUCACACCUUUUAUUUGUUGAUGAAACUCUUAACUUUUGUAGUACAAAGAAAGCUCACGUCCAGUACCUGAUUAUCACCCUCAUGCCCUUCGAGGCAAUGUCAGGACUCCACAUUAACAUGUCAAAAAGCAUCUUCUAUCCAGUUAAUGUGGUUCCUAACCUGAAGGAAUUGGCUGAAAUUAUGUUCUGAAAUAUUGGUUCCUUCCUCACUACUUACUUAGGCCUCCCUCUAGGUGCCAGCCAUAAGACUGUUGAGUUCUGGAAAGUGGUAAUUGAAAAUUUCGAGAAAAGAUUGGCAUCCUGGCAGCAACAGUAUCUUUUCCUUGGAGGCAGAGCAACACUUAUUAAUAGUGUUUUAGACAGUAUCCCCGCCUACUUCAUGUCCCUAUUUCCUAUUCUAGGCAUGGUGCAGAAACACCUUGACAGGAUUGUCCCUAUUUCCUAUUCUAGGCAUGGUGCAGAAACAUCUUGACAGGAUCAGAAGGUCUUUUUUUAUGGGAAGGGAAUAGCACAACUCACAUAAUUCACUUGGUCAAAUGACCCAAGGUCAAUCUUCCUAAAACUCUUGGUGGCCUAGGUGUUACGGAUAUAGCAUUCCACAAUAAAUGCAUGUUAAUGAGAUGGAUUUGGAGAUAUGACCAGGAAGAUGCCGGUUUUGGAAGGAAGUUAUGCAAGCAAAGCUGGUUUCACCAACCACUGGUGUACGGUGUACCAAAGUGGAUGGAACAAGGUAAUGGAAGGGUAUCAGGCUCUUAUGGGAAGCCUUCUCACUCAGCACAUCUCUUCAGGCAGGAAAAUGGGGAGCAUAUACUGUUUUGCAAAGACAAAUGGUUAGGUCUCAAUCCUCUGAAGGAUACCUACCGAAGAUUGUUCUCACUAGCUACCAACCCAGACCCCAUUAUUGCUGAGAAUAGGGAGGACAACUCAUGGAAUUUGAUACUAAGAAGAAACCUAAAUGACUGGGAAAAUGAAGAUUUCCUAGCACUCCUUAACUGCCUUCAAAACAGCCCAGUCAACAGCCUUAGGAGAGACAGAAUCAAAUGGGGCAGCAGCAGAAAUGGGUCUUAUACAGUCAAGGAAGGAUACUUGCGCUCUGAGAUCCAAGAAGAAUUUGAUUGAUCAAUGGCCUUGGAAGCUGAUUUGGAGAACUAAAUUGCUACGUUUGUUUCUCCUGGAGCACUCCAAAGGGUGCAACUUUACCUCAAGACAAUCUUUCCAGGAGGAAAUUUCUGCUUGCAAACAGAUGCUACAUGUGUAAGUGGCUCAGUGCAGCCCUGGAUCACUAAACCACUGUUCCUUCACUGUCCAUUUGCAAGAGACAUAUGGAACAUGUUAUAAUCACUUUUUGGUCUUCAUUGGGUCAUGCCAUGCAGUGUGAAAGAGGUUUAUCAUAUUUGAUGCUCAUGGCCAGUUGGGAAGACCAUCAAAAAGUUUUGGUCUUUGAUUCCUGCUUGAUUUUUUGGUGUAUAUGUUUGGUAAGUGUUAGAAUAGGAAUAGGUUUAUACAAUCCUAUUAGAAUAGAAAUAGGUAUAUACAAUUCUAUUAGAAUAGGAAUAGUAAUAGAAAUAGAAAUAGAAAUAGGAAUACUAAAUAGUAUCCUACUUGGUAAAGGAUUGUAUUCUAGGGUCUCAAUGUAAUAAUGUAAACAACGACAAUUCAAUAAUAUUCUUUUUCCUAUAUUUCUCACAGAAAGAAGUCGUAGAUUUUUUAUGGCAGCCAAUUACACUCUUAAAGCCUGAUGUUUAGUUAAUAUUUUUAGUUGGGCCAAUCUCACCCAUGUAAUCAGUCUUGACUCCUUCGUGGAUUUUAUAAGCUCUUCAGUUCUUUGAUCACCCCACUUGGUGGGAUUCACUGGGUAUGUUGUUGUUGCUAUUUAGUUCUUUUAUAGUUUUUUGUCUCCCUUUGGACUGAUACUUCCAUCUUUUAUAAUCUGUGCAUCUUCUUGAUGCUUUUAUUAUUGUUAUUUUUCAAAAUUUCAUUAAAAAAAAGGAGUUAAAUUGAUACAAUCCAUACUUAAUGCCCUUCAAAUAAAUAAGUUAUUCAACUCGUUUUUAAUUGGGUUGGUUGGACAAAUAUUUGGAAAUCUUAUCCAUUUGCUAGCAGUUGUUUUUUCAUCAAGUAAUAAAUUUUAAUUAACAAUGGGCACAAAGUUUACCCAUAUACAAGGAGCAUACUAACUUUAGUUAUUUCAGAUGAGAAACAGGCUUAGAGAUUUCGAGUGCAACUAAUAUGAAAUCAACUUUAUCUUUAUUUAAAACAGCACAAAGUAAUAAGCCAACCCAAUGACACCUUCUGGAUAAAUGCUGCAGAACCUAAAAGCUGACAAACAUCCACCAAAAGCUCCGUCAGGCUCAUCCUGAAUUGUUCAAGGGUGUCAGGCAGGUCAACCAUUGCACCCUCGCCAUAAAAUGUAGAAUCAUCCACCUGUUUAAGUCGAAACCCAUAACACAAAAUAAAUAAAACAGAAAAUAAAGAGUAAGGAAAAGAUGGCAUUAAUUUGAGCUUACUUUUAUGCACUCCAAUUAACAGUAAGUACAAGGACAUUCAUUGAAAGCUAGCCAAGGAAAUCAUUUUGAAACUAGUUUAUCAAAAUGAUUUACAGCUUACUUUAAAGAAGUUAGUCUACCACUAUAGUACAAUAUGUUUAUAUUGAUGACAUCAAAGCAUGAGCAAAAAUUUGACCUGUCCACUAAUCAAAUUUUAGAGGCAACCUCUAACAACCAAAUUAUGUAGACCACCCAACAGACUUGAGAGAAAGGGAGAAUAAAAAAUUGAGAAGAAAAAAGUAACUGACAAUCCCUUAGUGUAGGAAAAAAUAAGGCAAGGGGUCGUUUGGUUGGGAACAAGUUAUCCCAGGAUUAGUUAUCCUGGGGUUAGCUAUCCUGGGAUAACUUAUCCCACAAUGUAUAUGGGAUAACUCAUCCCAUCACUAUGAUAUAAAUGGUGGGAUAAGUUAUCCCAAACAUGGCAACCAAACAAGAUACAAAAAUUUUAUCCCAUCACUAUUUAUUUUAAUACCUCACACCAAACGACCCCUAAGAGUCUUCCAGAUUAUCUGCCAAUUAACCUAUGACAUUAUUGCUGGUAAUUCCUUCAGUGAAGCAUGCUGAGUUGAGGUUCUUAUUUUUAUUUUUAUUUUUAUUUUAAAUUAAAGUUGAGGUUCUUAUUGUUUUUUUAUUUUUAUGACCGUGGUGUCUGAUGUGAGGCUAAAAAUAUAUUUUCUUAUCAUUAUUUGUCUCACAUUUAUUAUUUAUAUUUGCCCUUUUUGAGCAUGGAUUUUAUGUAGGAGUAAAUUGGUGUAAAGUUGAAGAAGUUUGGAGCUAAAACGAAUUAAAGAUGGAAGGUUGAAGAAGGUAAUCAAGCAGGCAGCUUAAUGGAAAUAAGUUAAUAUAAUAUUAAUAUAAUUUAUAUUCAAAUAGCAAAGAUGCAUAACACGUGGCAACCAUUGAAGGCCACAGUAAAAAGUUGAAGGCGGCACAGCUUCGAAAAACACUUGUUCAUGCUACCCUUUGUUGACUAUAAAUAGAGGGGUUUCCUCUCAUUUUUCAACCACAUGUUUUUUUUUAAAAUCUUCUACUCUUCUUCUUGCAUUAUAAUUUUUUUUGUGUCAUUUAUCGUCGUUGAGUGAAUUUGAAGUUUAACAAAAUAUGGGGCACUAUUAUGAUGAAGUAUAAAUCGUUCUAUCCUAAGAGGGUAUAUUCCAUAACUUCAAGUAGUUGAGGAAAAUAAUUAUUUUUUGCUUAAUAUAUACAUUAGUAUGUAAUGUUCCAAUAUAUGAAGUUAACAUGAUGUAGUCUAUUUUCAUUUGUUUUUGUUAACAAUUUCUUUUGUGAUGUAGAUAUAUGCUUCUGAAUAUCUUUUUCUAAAAUUUAGAAAAUUGUCAUGAUUUGUUUUUUUAAUGCUCAAGACAAAAGAAUGACUUUAUUUAUCAAUACUACUUAUGUGAUUUAGAUUGUCAAGAAGCUUGCUUCAAAAUAGUUAUUACUAUAUAAACAUUGUCUUUUUGUUUUACUUAUUUACUAUUUCAUGAUAUUUAAGUAUUUUAGACAGAGAAAUUCAUAUGACUGUAUUAUCGCAAGUUGAAAUUUGUAUUAGUUUAAUUUUUUAUUAUUUAUUUAAUAGCUAAUUUUUAUGAGAUAAAUAUUUUUCAUUAAUGAAAAUAUAUAUUUACAUUUUGGUAGGUGUUUGUACUUAAAUUAAAGUAUUAUAUAUGUCACAAAUGUAUUAUCAAGUUAACAAGAUCUUCUAUGUUUAAAAUAUUAUUUUAAAAUGUUCCAAGUUAUUUAUUUAUUUUAAAAAUAAACACUCACAACAAAUGUGAAAAUAUGUGAAUAUAUAUGAAUCAUUUAAAAUUUAUCAAUUACAAAAUAAAUUUUAUAUUCAGUAAUACGGAAUAAACAUUUACAUUUUGCCCCUACAUUAAAUUAAAAUCUAAUAACUAAAAAAAUAGUAACAUUAAUUAAAAGUCCUAUUUAUUUAUGUACGUAUAAAAUUUAAUAGAAAUUCAGCUAUUGCACAUUAACUCUUUUACGUUCUAAGGUAUAACAUUAUGAAUUCCAUAGUUGUUACAUUAAUUUCUAUAUUUCAUCUAUCCUUAUAUUACCUUUUGACCAAUAAUUUUUCAUAUUAUUACACCGCCCAUAUAUAUGUGAUAACAUGGUGUUGUAAUUUUUCCUUUGACGAAUCAUACUCGGUUGAAUAAAUCGAAACAAUUUACGAGUAUAUGGAUUAUAUCUUUUUUAGGUGUAAGAUGAACAUGUAGUUAUAUAUAUGAAUUCACACAUAAAAUAUAUUCUUUAAUUUUAAUUUUUAGUUUUUUCUGGUAAAAAAAAAAGAGAAGCUUUCUCAGUUAGCAAUGGACAGUCAGAUAACUUUCUUUUAUUUAUGUACACAGUCAUUCAAGAAGUCAAGUCUGAGAGCCAACAACAAGAACAUCAUCUAUUAUGUGAUAACUUAUAAAAUGUAGUUGUUCUCUUCACAUGUUCAUAUGACAUCUAAACAGUUUAACGUGAAAUACACGUGCAAACAUCUGGUUAGAUGACAAGAAAAAUACACAACAAAUAUCGUCUAUAAGAGAUAUAUAUGACGAUCCACAUUGAAUAUUAACAAAAGAAUCUGCAAUAUUAUUUUGUGCUAAGCUUAGUAUUCAAAUCUUCGCCUAAAUAAGCAAUACUAUUUACUAUAACAUAUAUUUUUUGAAUUAGAAAACACGUGUCAAAAAACUAGUACUACCUCAAAAGUAUGAACUACCUAUCUUAAAUGUUAACUUAUUAUAAUAUCCCCGACUUAAAACACCAAAUUUAGUAUAUAUUCUAUAUUUUAUAUUAUAUUAUUUAUUAUUUAUUUAGUUAUACUAUAUAAUAUUAUAUUAAAAGCAGACACCUUUUCACAUUGAAGAGUCUUGACUUUUCCAAAGAGUUAUGACUUUUUCGAUGAGUUAUGACCUUUUCGAAGGAUUGUGACUUUUCUAAUGGGUUGUGACUUUUUCCGAAGGGUUAUAGGUGUUUUUCGGAUAUUGAUUUGACAAUUUUAGUAGUAAUCAUAAGAAAGUUUACAUCCACUAUUCAUAGGAACUUAUACUUUAUUAUUCCACUAGUAAAAUUACCUGCGCUUUGUGCAGGAAUUUGAUAUCACAAAACUUAUAAAAUAAUACAUAAAACCUAUCAGUCAUUAAAACUAAAACACUAUGUUAUCUUACAUACAAGAUUACGUAGUAACGAACAUUAAUAAUAAAAGGAAAAUAAUUUGAUUUUCAAUCAUCUUUUGCCUCCAGGAAGUGUUACUAUUUGAUUUUUUUGGGAAAUUAGAUGAACAUCAACAUGAGAUAUUAAAUUUUCUAAUAAAUAAAUAAUCUUUAUAUGUACUAACAAAUACUUAUAACAAUAACUUUUGCAGAAACAUAAACAACAAAGUUUAAAACAUGUACUCAAAAACAACAAUUAAUAUCAUAAGCAUAAAUUAAUGACUGUAAAAAAUAUACUAGGAUCUAUAAUAAUAUAAUGAAACAGAAAGGAAAAAAUUGAGCCCAUUGAAUGCACAAUGUCCCCUUAAGGAAAUUAUUCCCCUCUAGUACCUGAGGUUUAAAGGAAUAGAUCCUCUCGGGAUCCUCUUGGGAUGGAACUAUUCUAUUCACAAGUGUAUUGAUACAAAAACAAUAGUGUCAAUGAGCCACUCAACAAGAGCAAAAUACACGAAUAUUUAAUUGUGCAAAAGAAGAAGAAGUUUAGAAUUUUCGUUGUUUUAAAAUGAGAGGAAAUCUCUCUAUUUAUAGGCAAAAAGGGUAGUGUGAACAAAUGUUUAUUGUCCCUUAUCGGAAAUGUCACAACUCUUUGGAAAAGCUACAACCUUUUAGAAAGGUCACAACCUUUCAUAAAAGUCACAAUUUUUCAUAAAAGCCGCAACUCUUCAUAAAAGUCGCAACUGUUCAUCAAAGUCACAAUUUUUCAUAAAAAUCACAUCUUUUCAUGAAAGGGGAAAGGUAUUUUUGGAAAUAAAUAAAUUUAAAAGGAAAUUCUUGCUGUGGUGGCGCCACGUAAGCAGUCCUAGGGUUCUCUUUUAUAUAAAUAUAUGAUUUAUAAUUAUGUACUUGGAUUUUUGAUUUAAUAGUAUUGACAAUGUUUUUUAAAUAGUGUAGUGCAUGGUUACAAAAAGAUGAGAUGUCAUAUCAAAAAGGAUUGUCUCAAUAUAAACACAACUUUGAUUAACUACAACUAAUUAUUGAUAUCUCAUCAAUUCCAGAACAAAGAGCCAAGGGUCAUACUUUUCCUCCAAUUUCCUGAUGAUCACAGUGAAAGAACACCCAAAUUUAAGAUAAAACCAGGGAGAAACAAUAAUUUUGGAUAGACAGAAAACCUUGUUAAGUGCAUAGACAGAAUUUUCUUUCAAUUAUCACAGCUAUACUCUCUGUGAAGCAUAAAAUUUAUCAUAUAACAAUAUUUUAAAAUCCAACAAAUGCACAUGCUAAUGGAAAGGUAGGUCAAUAGAGUAAUUUGUGGAUGGGACUAAAUAGAAGCAGAAUAAAGAAACAAUCUGCAGUCAAAAUGCAUGCAAACAGAAGCUAACCUGAGAACGCAACAGAAGGGCAUCCAACAACGCCGAGAAAACAGGAAAAAAUAAGAUCUUGACGCUCUUAACAUUUUCUCCACGAUCUGCAUCCAGGCCUAGGAUGUAGCCGGCAAGACUGCACCUGCAAAGUGAGAGUGUUCUUGGAUAGGGGGAACCAUUUGAACUACACAUUUCGUUUCAACAAUCUGCUCUGGACCCUGUCUAUAGUUAAGUAACGGGCCCCGAUUUGUACAAAAGUAACUUUAUUAUGAAAAGGUAAAAGCACCAGAACUGCAAAGUCGAGUCUGCGAUCUCCCAAUCUUCACUUGGAAAUGAAACACAACUGCCAUCAUACAUUGCAUGUCAGGUACUUAUAUUUAUAAGUAAAAGAUGUUUCAUUAGAUGAAAGCUCCCAAAAAUUAUGUACAUCAAAAUAGAAACUUCCUUAUCCGCUAUGAUUGAAGGGAUUCUGAGAAAAAAAAUUGAAACAGUAACUUGGGAUUCUAAUAAAUUUAAAAGUCAUCGACUUUGUCUUCUAGCUUCAGAUUGCACCAGGUGUUCAACAUAUGCUAAAAUCUAGACCUAAGACAAAAAAUUGUUGAGUAUUUGUCUUCAAAGCAUUUGUUUUUUCUUUUUCUCCAAAUUAUCCAAGAAAUGUAAAUGGGCAUCGUGUUCCACAUCUGCCGGAGGAGCUUCCUGACAUUCUAUCCUUGCCAUGCCAACAGAGCUUCUUUAAUAGAUUGAGGCGUCACUCACUGAAUACCUCCCACAUGUAUAGGAGAUUAUGAUUAAUAGAUUCAAUCUCCUGCACAAGAUCACCUAUUACAGAAAAUGAACAUUUUUCUUGUAUGUCUUGCCAUCUAUAAUCUACUCCUGCUGGUUUGCACAAAAUUUUAGCAAGAUUUGACGGUAUAGUUUCCUUUGCUAUCGGCAUCCCAAAAUAAUCUGUCCUGCUCUGUUGCUAAUAAUAGAAGCUGCCAAGUUGUAGAAAAAGUUGAGCCAGUUUUUCUGUUUCCCAGUUGAAACAAUUUCUUCUGACCAUUAAAUUCCAUACAUCUCCAAAUCUGCAUUCUGCCAGUGUGGCAUGUUGUUUCGGAACUAAGCUGUACAAAUCUGGGACGGAAAUCAUCAAGGGGAUUCUUCUAGCCAAGGAUCCUCCCACAUUUUUGUCUUCCUCCCAUCGCCAACUGAUAUCACGGACAAAUUUUUAAGGUCUCCCCAUAAGUUUCUUAUUUGUUUCCAUAGAGCAAACCCAUAGGAAUAUCACUUGUUUGAUACACCAACAAUUUACUGUUCCAUAUUUUGUAGUGACAACUUUUCUCCAUAAAACAUCUUGAUCGCAACUAAACCUCCAAAACCAUUUUAAAGUAGACUUUUUUUUAUGUAGUUUCAAGUCCCUCACCCCUAUUUCACCCCAUUGUUUUGGAGUUGUGACUGUGACUGCUUCACUAAAUUAAAUUUACGGCUCUCCAAAUUCCCUGACAAUAGGAAAUCCCUCCUUGGCUUGUCAAGCUGAUUUGCUAUUUUUGAGGGUGAUAAAUGUAGAUAAAAGCAAUAUGUUGGCAUCCGACUAAGACACUAUCUGUGAGGGUAAGUCUUCCCCAGCACACCUUUCAAGAUUACUCCUUGUCUAUGUUGAGCUAGUGGUAGACCAAGGUAAGUAACAGGAAAAUGUUCCACUUACAUACUAGUAUUGCAGCCAAGGAUUGAAUGUAACUAACUAUGUUCACUGGAAACAGGCAGCCCUUGGACAGAUUUACAUUAAGUGCCAAUAUCAAGGUAUCAUCUGCAUACAGCAAAUAUGAAAGCUCCCGCUGAUUUGAUUUAUUUUUUUAAGGUAAAUAAAUUUAUUAAUAAAUGGGGAAACCCAUAAAUAAAAAGAAGAGAACCUACAUCAAAAUAUGGUUCUCAACAGGAAAAAAGCUCCAGCUGAUUAUUACCCCCAUUUCCCACUCUAAACCCUUUGAUCCAACCCUUUAUCCCUGCGACUUUUAAAAUCUUGCUCAAAGCUCCCAAUACCAACAGUAGCCCACUGGUGUACCAUUACUGAGGAUAGAGAACUUCACAGAGGCAGUGGAAUCUUUCACCAAUCCACCCAUUUGUCAAAAAAAUCCAUGUGUACCAAUAAUUUUGACAGAAAAGACUUGUUUACGCGGUCAUAGGCUUUUCCAAAGUUCAGUUUACAAACUGUUUCUAACUUCUCCUUACCUCAUUCUUGAGUCCAAAUUCUCAUUGGCAACUAAAAUUGUAUCCAUAAUUUUUUCCAUGGAUGAACAUGUUCUAUGUGCCUGAGAUCAAUCUGCCCAUAAUACUUUUCAGCCUCUUAGUGAGGACUCUAGCUAUGAUCUUGUAGACACUGCCUAAAAGGCAUAUUGUCUAAGAUCUUUAAGCUAUGUUGCCUCUUUCUUUUUGGAGUUAAUGCGAUGAAGGUUGCAUCUAGACUCUAGGAAAAAACCACCUCCAUGUAUAAAUAUUCAAAAGUUGCCAUCAGAUCACACAAGCUUCAUCUCCUGCACUUUCUUAAGGUCAUGAGAACUUCUUCCUCUGUAAAGCAUCUCUGCAGCCAUUCCCAGUCUGAUUCUGAAAGUUUUACCAAAUCUGGGCUCCAACUUUCUGCUUCAUGGCGCAAUUUUUUGUAAUAAUUCAAGAUUUUCCCUUUUAUUGAAGUAUCUGGAUACACAGCUUCUAUUCCAUCAGUCAGUAGUUUAUCAAUGUUGUUAUACCUUAUAUAAUCAAGUGCUUAGAAUUUAAUUAGAACAUUAAGAGACUAUGCAUUUAUUUGAUUCAAAAAUAAACUAUGCAUAGUUAUCUUGAUGUUUGUUGUGUGAGAAAUAAAGGAGAAAAAUAUUAUUGAAAUUGUGUUUUAAUUAUUACAUAGAGAACCCUAUUUAUAGACACUAUGAUACUAUUCCUUACCAAAUAAGAGACUAUAAACUAUUCCUAUUAUGUGUAGGAUUGUGUAUACCUAUUCUAUUCUAACACUCCCCCUCAAGCUGGUGCAUACAAAUUAUAUGUACCUAGCUUGUUACAAAUGUAAUUAAUACAAGGACCGGUGAGGAACUUGAUGAAGAUAUCUGCAAGUUGAUCAUUUGACUUCACAAAUUUGGUAACAAUAUCUAGUAACAAUAUCUCCUGAGAGUAUCUUUUCUCUGACAAAGUGACAAUCAAUCUCAAUGUGCUUAGUCCUCUCAUGAAAGGGUGAUCCUGCCCAAUCAGCGUCUGUAUAUCCGGUGAUAUGCUCAUGGCCUUGAUCCUCGAAGAGUAGUCAUUUACCAGGAGCUGACUUUAUAUAUCGCAUAGGACUCUAGCUAUGAUCUUGUAGACACUGCCUAAAAGGCAUAUUGUCUAAGAUCUUUAAGCUAUGUUGCCUCUUUCUUUUUGGAGUUAAUGCGAUGAAGGUUGCAUCUAGACUCUAGGAAAAAACCACCUCCAUGUAUAAAUAUUCAAAAGUUGCCAUCAGAUCACACAAGCUUCAUCUCCUGCACUUUCUUAAGGUCAUAUAAACUGACUUACAACACUCACAGGAAAAGAGAUGUUUGGUCUAAUCACCGUGAGAUAAUUCAACUUUCCAACCAACUGUCUAUACCUUUCAGGAUUACUGAGUUGCUCCCCCUGUCCUGGAAGGAGUUUAACAUUCGGAUCCAUAGGACUGUCAAUGGGUUUACAUCCCAUCAUUCUUGUCUCCUCAAGAAUGUUUAAAGCAUACUUGUGUUGAGAAAUAACAAUACCUGAUCUAGACUAUGCAACCUCAAUACCUAGAAAAUACUUCAGUUAACUUCUUCCUCUGUAAAGCAUCUCUGCAGCCAUUCCCAGUCUGAUUCUGAAAGUUUUACCAAAUCUGGGCUCCAACUUUCUGCUUCAUGGCGCAAUUUUUUGUAAUAAUUCAAGAUUUUCCCUUUUAUUGAAGUAUCUGGAUACACAGCUUCUAUUCCAUCAGUCAGUAGUUUAUCAAUGUUGUUAUACCUUAUAUAAUUAAGUGUGACCAUGCAUUUAUUUGAAUCAAAAAUAAACUAUGCAUAGUUAUCUUGAUGUUUGUUGUGUGAGAAAUAAAGGAGAAAAAUAUUAUUGAAAUUGUGUUUUAAUUAUUACAUAGAGAACCCUAUUUAUAGACACUAUGAUACUAUUCCUUACCAAAUAAGAGACUAUAAACUAUUCCUAUUAUGUGUAGGAUUGUGUAUACCUAUUCUAUUCUAACACUCCCCCUCAAGCUGGUGCAUACAAAUUAUAUGUACCUAGCUUGUUACAAAUGUAAUUAAUACAAGGACCGGUGAGGAACUUGAGGCCAAUGACGAACGGCAGCCAUAGAUAGAAAGAGACGGACAAAUGCUAUUUUGGCCACAGGAGCGAAAGUGUCACUAUAAUCUAGCCCAAAUAUCUGAGUAUACCCUUUGGCAACAAGGCAAGCCUUAAGCCGAUCGACUUGACCAUCUGGACCAAUUUUGACCGCAUAAACCCAACGACAACCAACAGUAGACUUACCUAUAGGAAUUGUAGGGCUAGCUAAAAUCUGAUCACGCACUGAAUCAUGGUUAGUAGAAAAGUCCAGCAAGUUUAAGAAUUAGAAACAAUGUCUGUCUGUGGUCUUGUUGUUUUUUGCACGUCCGUAGUGACUGGCAUAUAUGUUUCAAAUUCCUCCAUGAUUGUACACACAAGUUCCAUAUGACCGGUUUCUCCAAACUUCAAUUCUCCAAGCAACUGUUUGAUCCGAACUAGCUCACAAGUUGCUACAACCAUUGCUCGAUAUUAUGCUUCCGCACUGGAUCCCAUGACUGCCUGUACCUGUCCCAAGUAAGUAGACAUAUCGGAUUCUUGUUUCUUUAAGUUGGUCAAUCGAGAUAUCACAUCAUAGAAUCGAGAUAUGUCAUUAGUGUAUAAAGCACAAGCCUUUUUCCAAACUGAAUAACAUGUUUGGAAUGGACGGAACAAGGGCAUCAACUUGGAAUCAAUAGAUCGCCAUAGGAGACUACAUAAUUGAGCAUCAACCUUCUCCCAUUGUGCUUUGGCUUUUGCAUCUUCCCCACUAGGCUUUGCCUUUUCAUCUACCACACAAGCAAUGUUCGUUAAGUGAUCUUUGACACCUUGACCCUUGCACCACAACUCAAACGAGGAAGCUCAAGCUAAAUAAUUUGAGCUUCCCAUUAACGGUUCUGAAGUGAUCAUUGGGCUGAAACUUCCACUUUUCGGGCCAAAAAUAUCAAUCCCGAAAAACACUGUAAAAUCAGGCAAAAAAAAAAAUCUGCCACCUGAAAGUGGACAGAAAUCAAAGAAGAGAAAAAUAUAAUUAAUUAUAUCGGUAGGGUCAGAAUUACGAGGCGACCCUACUGGAAAAAAAAUAUGCUGAAAAAAAUGGCUGGAAACAGCCUGAAAUUGCCGGAAAAGUGGCUGAAAUCGCCGAAAUCUCAAAAUAAUCAGAUCUGAUUGCAAAAAAAUGGUCGGAAUCAGGAAAUAAUUGAAUGGGUAGGUUCAAAAAAGAAAUCCGAGGUGGUAUGAUCUGGAAAAAGAAAAGUUGCCGGCGCGUGGUCAGAUCUCGCCAGAAAAUUCACACCUCUGAUCGGCGCAUGAGGUGGUAUUUUCCGGUGGGUCUGGCUAGGGUUUCGUCGCCGGAGAAUGAGGGACCCACUAGUGGUGUUGGUUUUCACACAACACUAACGAAAAGAGAUGAUGACAAAAUUCAACUUUGGCAAUAGCCGGAAAUUUCUAUAAAGGUUUCUCACCGAUGCUCUGAUACCAUGGGAGAAAUAAAGGAGAAAAAUAUUAUUGAAAUUGUGUUUUAAUUAUUACAUAGAGAACCCUAUUUAUAGACACUAUGAUACUAUUCCUUACCAAAUAGGAGACUAUAAACUAUUCUUAUUUUGUGUAGGAUUGUGUAUACCUAUUCUAUUCGAACAGUUGUUUUCACCAAGAUUAAUAAUUCCUUAUAUUAUAUUGGGCCCGUGCUGGUACGGGCAAUUCCCCCUAGUCAAUACAAGUGCCUAUCUUGGUAAAAGAGGAAAGAAGUAGGGACAGUAUAAAGAAAGCUUCAGAUUACAGAAAACUGUUUCUAACUUCUCCUAACCCCAUUCUUGAGUCCAAACUCUCAUUGGCAACUAAAAUUGUAUCCAUAAUUUUUUUUCCAUGGAUGAACAUGUUCUAUGUGCCUGAGAUCAAUCUACCAUAAUACAGCCUCUUAGUGAGGACUCUAGCUAUGAUCUUGUAGACACUGCCUAAAAGGCAUAUUGUCUAAGAUCCUUAAGCUAGGUUGCCUCUUUCUUUUUGGAGUUAAUGCAAUGAAGGUUGCAUCUAGACUCUAGGAAAAAACCACCUCCAUGUGUAAAUAUAAAAAGUUGCCAUCAGAUCGCACAAGCUUAAUCUCCUGCCCUUUCUUAAGGUCAGGAGAACUUCUUCCUCUGUAAAGCAUCUCUGCAGCCAUUCCCUGUCUGAUUCUGAAAGUUUUCCCCAAAUCUUGGCCAUCCAAUCUGGGCUCCAACUUUCUGCUUCAUGGCGCAUAUUUUUGUAAUAAUUCAAGAUUUUCCCUUUUAUUGUAUCUGGAUACUCAGCUUCUAUUCCAUCAAUCAGUAGUUUAUCAAUGUUGUUAUACCUUAUAUAAUCAAGUGCUUAGAAUUUAAUUAGAACAUUAAGAGACUAUGCAUUUAUUUGAUUCAAAAAUAAACUAUGCAUAGUUAUCUUGAUAUUUGUUGCUUUCACCAAGAUUAAUAAUUUCAAUAUUAUAUUAUAUUGGGCCCGUGCUGGUACGGGCAAUUCCCCCUAGUCAAUACAAGUGCCUCUCUUGGUAAAAGAGGAAAGAAGUAGGGGCAGUAUAAAGAAAGCUUCAGAUUACAGAAAACUAUGCUUACGAUGGAGCCAACAAAAUGAUGAUAGAAGUUAGAACCAAGGAUUUUAUGCGUCUAUUAAAGAAAGUUUCAUUUAGUGAAUUGGAGAGACGUCACAUCUCUGAAGGAAUGGGGAGGACUCGGUGUGAAAUAUCACAUGGUAUUCAACAAAGCGUUGUUAAGGAAUUGGAUAUGGAGAUUUGAGGUGGAAGAGAAGGCACUUUUGAGGGGGGCGCAACAGAAAAAUAUGGUAUCAUCGAAGGAGGAUCGAUGACUAGAAACAUUGGAAUAUCGUUUAGAUUUGGCUUAUGGAAGAGUAUUUAUAGAGGUGGGAAGAGUUUAGUGGACAUAUCUCUUUUAUGGUGGAGGAUGGAAGCAGGAUUAGUUUUUGGGCAUGUAAGUGGUGCGGAGAGAACAAGUUGAAGGAAGUUUUUCCAGACAUUUAAGUUUCUUGCCAAAAAGAUAUGAUAGUCAAACAAAUUUAUAGGUCGCAUGAGGGAAGUUCAUUGGGAUUUGAGAUUUAGGAGGAACCUACAGGUUGGGAGAUGGAAGAGUUUCAUAUUAUGGUUGAGUUAUUGUAUGGGCAGGAGAUACAUUGAUAGAUCGGAUGGAUGGAACGACGAGAGGGUAGAAAUUGUUUUGUAACUAUUAAUUUUAUAACGAAAGAUUAUUAGGGAAAGGGGAAUGUAUCUUCCAUCAUCGCUUAAUAUAGAGUCUCACGGUACCAAGGAAGGUGUGUUUCUUUACGUAGUUAGCAGCAAGGGGAAUGAUCUUGACAACGGGAAACCUGAGAAAGGAAGAUCGCCUAUUUUAGUUGGUGUUUCAUGUGUAAAUGUUUGGGUGAAAAGUUAUAUUGCAUUGUCAAGUGACUAACCGACUGGGGAAGGUGGUUCUUUAUGGGUUUUGUUGCAAUGGGUGAUGAUGUCGAGCACAAUGAAGAAGGUAAUGCCCAGUUGGGUUUGCAGAAGGGGAAAGAGAAAUUCAAGGGCAUAGAAUGUUGCCUCUUAGCAAUUACGUGGAUUAUUUGGAAAGAGAGCAAUGGGAGAGCAUUUGAAGGGGUCGGGCAUUUGGGUUUCUUUUGUUGACAACCAUAUUUUGAUGGUAUACGGCUUGUAUAUGGGGUUUCCCCCAAAUUGUUAAUAAAAUUAUUUACCAUAUCAAAUAAAAGAUAUUCUUGCAACACAUAAAAAGAAAUAUAAGAAAUGGCAUCUGACCUCAAGAGUGCAUCUGUCAGUACAAAUGCUUCAGGACUUGCUUCAGUAAUCAAAGACGGAGCCUAUUAUACAAGAAAACAAUAGUUAAUUAGUUUCAGAGAUCCUUGAUGCUAAGCUGUCGAAGCAUAGGUAGGACCCAUCUACUCUAUUUGGCUGCAAGAAUCAAUUCUAGCUCGGAGUUUGAAAUACUUACAGCAUGACCAAUUUCUGACAAAAAACAAGCAAGACCACUUAUCACAGUCUCGUCUCCACUAUUAAGAGCUGGGAGAAGAAGUACAUCCCUAAGAAAUCCAACCUUGCAUAGCAAAACUUGUGGUAUACACUGCAAAAGCAAAAGUAGAAAAGGUUGGUUUAAAAUCCAAAGAGAAUUAAGUUGGGCCAAUUUUGUUUGGUGUAAAUCUUCCAGAUGGAUCUCAUAUUAAUUAUUUUUCGGAAAAGGAUAAAAAAUGCCCUUAUGUGAAAUGAUCAAAAAUGCCCUUUGUUUAUACUUUGGUCCAUUUAUGCCUUUGUAGUCAGUGAAAUGGACCAAAAAUUCCCUUAAACGAAAUGAAAGCAAACGGGAAAUACUUAAACACUAAUUUUAGUAUUAAUUUGUCUGCCCCGUCUCUUCAUCUGAACCCAACCCCAUUUUUCUCUCAGAUUUAUUUCCUCCUUCAAAACCCUAGCCUCCUCGUCUAAAUUUCUCAAAUAUGCUUAAGUGGGUGUAGAUUUUUCUUCUAUUUUCGGUAAUUUUGACAUCAUUAAAGAUGAAAUAAGAUGAAUAGUUAGCCACCAUAGCCACUAGACUCCAACUCUUAAAUGAUAAAAUUACCUUCAAAAUCAUAUUUUUUUGUUGUUAUUUUUCUUUUAAAAAACUCCUUUUUACACUGUAACUUCCUUAAUUUCUCACAAACAACUCUCU
rnacentral:lncRNA from 1 species